rnacentral:lncRNA from 1 species
CACAACUCAAACAUUACAGCAAAAGCAUAAGAACUAGAAACCCACCACAAUGAAGAUCAUUUUCUUCUUUGCUCUCCUUGCUAUUGCUGCAUGCAGCGCCUCUACGCAGUUUGAUGCUGUUACUCAUGUUUACAGGCAAUAUCAGCUGCAGCCGCAUCUCAUGCUGCAGCAACAGAUGCUUAGCCCAUGCGGUGAGUUCGUAAGGCAGCAGUGCAGCACAGUGGAAAUCCCCUUCUUCCAAUCACCCGUGUUUCAGCUGAGAAACUGCCAAGUCAUGCAGCAGCAGUGCUGCCAACAGCUCAGGAUGAUCGCGCAACAGUCUCACUGCCAGGCCGUUAGCAGUGUUCAGGUGAUUGUGCAGCAGCUACAGCUACAACAGUUUACUGGCAUCAACUUCGAUCAGACUCAAGCUCUAGCCCAAGCUAUGUUGGCCCUAAACUUGCCGUUAAUAUGCAGUAUCUACCCAAGCUACAACACUGCUCCCUGUAGCAUUCGCACGGUCGGUGGUAUCUGGUACUGAAUUGUAGCAGUAUAGUAGUACAGGAGAGAGUAAUAAAGUCAUACAUCAUCGUGUGUGACAAGUUGAAACAUCGAGGCGAUACAAAUCUGAAUGAAAAUGUCAUGCAAGUUUAAACAUAAUGCCUCUGUAAGGAUAAAUCCUAGUACAUUGUUGAAAUUAAUUAUCAUCACCGUCUACUAUGGUUGCAUUUACAACUUUACGAUGUGUGCCUACAUUCAGUUCUAAGCUACUAUGGCUACUCGACGUGAACGGAGUGUGUUAAGCAGGUCAAUCUUUUCAUUUCGAUCAGAACAAAGUCAAAACGCAUUUGGCAAAUAGUAUAUACCCUAUAACGUAAUCCUACACCAUAUAAAACACGCCCAACCUAUAGCGGUUAUAAAUCCACUAUUCAAAAUGUAAGUAUCGAUGGGACCAUUUGCCAUAUCAUUGUUAAUUCAAUCUUACCUUGUCACCGGAGCAAGACGCUCCGCGUAACAUGAAGUUAAAAUUUUCAUAUUUGAAGGCCUGGUCGCGGAAAUAUCAAUUUAGAAGUUAAAAACAUUAAGCAUUGCUGCCUCAAUAAAAUUCAUAUAUGCGUAAUAGUCCACGUUAAUUCCCAUGCAUAUCGGUUUCAUUUGUUUUCACCCAAAGUCACAAAAUAUAGCUGCUGCUCUAUCCUGAGAGUGAGUAGGUAGGCAUUUUGUUCUUUACUGUUAUCGUUGAUCACCGCCGUGAUACAAUCGGUCAAUGGUUUGAUGCUAGCAAGGGGCUAUUUUCAUUUAUGUUCUGCCUCCUAAAUGUUCUUUCAUUCUUACACCUAGUACCGUGAGAAAAAUCUAGCUAGUUCUAUAGGCAAAUCGUUGUCAAUACGUGCUAGCUGAACUGUUAUGAGAAACAAUGUCUCUUAAGUCACGAUUUCGUUUCCUUUCGUGAUUUUUUCUUUCUAACGUGUUUUUUAACUCCUCGGCAAAAUAAACGCAAGCUAAUCUUUCAAAUUUUUCUCCAAAGUGGUCAUAAAAUCGAUGACGUUAUUAAAGGCUAUCAUAAGAUUUUUGUCACGGAAUGCCUAACCGUUGUAGUAUUAGACAUGUCGUUGUAAAGGCACUUUACUACAUAUCUCAUUUGAACAUAAGCAGUUAUUGAUAACUAAUAUAUUUGUCAUAACUCACUUUACACAUACAAAUAUAUUUCUACAUAUAUCAUUAAAGUUCCACGCGCCCUUGACAUGUAAAGUGCAUUUGUAAAACAAUAGCUUACAAUACAUAACAAACUUAGUUUGAAAAGGACAGCAAUCCAUGUCACACUAAAAUAUAAAGUGAGUGAGGAGUCAUAACAUUAUCUAUCUUGCUAACCAUCAAGUAUCUGUGAUGGGCAAUAAAGUUACUUUGAAGAUGGUCUACAAGGACAUCUGUGGAGGCACAUCAUGUAACAUCCAAACGACAUGACUCACUCUGAUCCUAAUAGAAUAUCCAACCAAAACAAACACUCUAAAGCAACCGAUAAGGAAUUCAAAGAAAACCCAUCCAUCGCAUCUAUAAAUAGACAAGCACAAUGUAAACCCCCUUCAUUCUUCUCACAACUCAAACAUUACAGCAAAAGCAUAAGAACUAGAAACCCACCACAAUGAAGAUCAUUUUCUUCUUUGCUCUCCUUGCUAUUGCUGCAUGCAGUGCCUCUGCGCAGUUUGAUGCUGUUACUCAAGUUUACAGGCAAUAUCAGCUGCAGCCGCAUCUCAUGCUGCAGCAACAGAUGCUUAGCCCAUGCGGUGAGUUCGUAAGGCAGCAGUGCAGCACAGUGGCAACCCCCUUCUUCCAAUCACCCGUGUUUCAACUGAGAAACUGCCAAGUCAUGCAGCAGCAGUGCUGCCAACAGCUCAGGAUGAUCGCACAACAGUCUCACUGCCAGGCCAUUAGCAGUGUUCAGGCUAUUGUGCAGCAGCUACGGCUACAACAGUUUGCUAGCGUCUACUUCGAUCAGAGUCAAGCUCAAGCCCAAGCUAUGUUGGCCCUAAACAUGCCGUCAAUAUGCGGUAUCUACCCAAGCUACAACACUGCUCCCUGUAGCAUUCCCACCGUCGGUGGUAUCUGGUAUUGAAUUGUAGCAGUAUAGUAGUACAGGAGAGAAAAAUAAAGUCAUGCAUCAUCGUGUGUGACAAGUUGAAACAUCGGGGUGAUACAAAUCUGAAUAAAAAUGUCAUGCAAGUUUAAACAUAAUGCCUCUGUAAGGAUAAAUCCUAGUACAUUGUUGAAAUUAAUUAUCGUCACCGUCUACUAUGGUUGCAUUUACAACUUUACGAUGUGUGCCUACAUUCGGUUCUAAGCUACUAUGGCUACUCGACGUGAACGGAGUGUGUUCAGCAGGUCAAUCUUUUCAUUUCGAUCAGAACAAAGUCAAAACGCUUGUGGCAAACAGUAUAUACCCUAUAAUGUAAUCCUACACCAUAUAAAACAUGCCCAACCUAUAGCUGUGUGGAGAUUAUGGAUACCCCAUGCCUACAAGGCAUUUAUAGUCCGACUGGAUAUGGGGUGCCAUGUCUAGAUAGAAUAUCUUUAGAAGGACUCGGGUUAAAUUCUAAACUUGUAUGUCAAGGAUACAUCCGAGUUCCUAGUCGGUUACGAUUGUAUUUUAUCUGUAACUACAUAUUCCGUUAGGGAUAUGGACUGUAUUUUGUAAUACGGACCCCUUCCCCUAUAUAAGGAGAGGUACGGGUGCCUCUAGGGGCACGAUUUUUUCCCAGAUCAUAUGAUCAAUAAUAUACUUGGUGGAUCAAUCCCCGGACAGGAGUAGGGUAUUACUUCUUGAUUAAGAAGGCCUGAACCUGUAUAAAAUUCCUUGUCUUUAAACCCAUCCACUUUUCCAGCCUGAUAGCCACCCCCUUUUAGUAUUGUCGAAAUCUUGUUUCAACAGUUGGCACGCCAGGUAUGGGAAGCGUCAAGUUCUUCGCCGACUAGUGCGAUGGGUUUCGUUUCCGGCAUCGACGACUUUGUCUUCCCUCCCGGGCAGGCGUUCCAAUUCGGCAGCCUCGACUUCAUCACCAACGACUUCGGCAAGAUUUCUCUCCUCGACUCGGAUUCAAACCAGUCGGGAAGAGGCCAGAUCUCCACCUAGUUCGGUAUCCCGAACUCGGCCGAGGUCUACCCCAAGAUCAUCUCCACCGAGUUGGCUUCAAACCACUCGGACGGGAUCCAAUCUACUUCAACACGACCCGAUCAAGACGAUGGGGCCUAUCCGCCAAUCCUGAUGAAACUCCCGAUGAUUUGGCUGCUGUAUUCACCACAAGGGCGUCUUCUCCCCGUAGGCCUAGGUGGGAUCCGGCUUUAGCCCCGGCCCGGCCUAGCUCCAGGGAAGUCGGUGUCAUACUCCAGCCUCUCGGCACGGUUUCGACGAACAACUGGAUGGCUACCUCAGCUCCCCCGGCAUCGACUCGCGACCAUCGGAGAUCGUGGAGUACGACGACUUCGGCUACCGCUACGACUACGCAACCUCGACGACUUCGACGAAGGCUUUGAAGACAACUACACACCCCUCUACUUCGGCAUCUUCAUGGCUGACAAUGAGACGGAAGAAGAGCGUAAAGCCCGAGAAGCAGAAGAACUACGUGUACAACAGGAAGCCGAACGACGCCGACUGGAAGAGGAGCGCCAAGCAUAAGAGCGAGAACGGCUACAAUGUGAGCCACAGGAACGCGAACGGGCUGCAAAAGAGGCUGAGGACUGGCGACAACGUGCCCUGGAUGCCGGGCGACAAGCAUAGGAACUUAUUGGGCAACAAGACGUCGAGGGGACAGCGGUUUUCCGCCCCCCCAACAGAACGCGGUUGCAGCGAUCACCCUCCUCGACAUCCUCCUCAAGGAAGACGCGCUCAAUCAAGCCAAUCACGUCGUCAACAUCUUGAACCAGACCAAGACCAUGAUCGCCGCCUUGGUCCCGAUUAACUCCGCAAGCGUCCACACGCCGACUGGCAGCCGAGUUCCCCAUCUUCGAUCUCAAGACUAUCACCAACCAAGCCUCAGCGUCGUCGGCGCGGGAUCUACUCGCAGGAGUAGGGGUCACGACGAGCGAUCUAUCCACUCGCCACCCAAACGACACAGGGAGCAUCGAGUUGAAUGACCACACUCCCCACAUCGCAGGCGCCCCGUCGAUCUUCGCGAUACUAUCAACCAGCGCCGCGCGGCAAGAGGCUACGCUCCCCACCAUUCUCCAGAUCGCUACGACGACGACGUGGAUGGAGUUGCUGCCUUCACAAGCGACCUGCGUCGAGUGGAUUGGCCAGCCGGCUUCAAGCCGAUUGGAAUCGAGAAGUAUGACGGCACCACUAACCCGGAGUCUUGGCUCACCGUCUACGGUCUCGCAAUUGGCGAAUUAUUUGCCUGUGGCCCUAGCGGAUUCUGCCCGGUCCUGGCUUCACGGGUUACCCUGUGGCACAAUUGGAUCAUGGGCGGAACUUCGCGACCACUUCAUCGCCAACUUCCAGGGUACCUUUGAACGCCCUGGUACACAGUUUGAUCUCUACAACGUCAUUCAGAAGUCUAGAGAAUCCCUUCGAGAUUACAUCCGACGCUUUUCCGAGCAACGCAACAAGAUCUCCGACAUCACCGACGACGUCAUCAUCGCCGCCUUCACCAAGGGCGUUCGCCACACAGACCUAGUCGGCAAGUUCGGGCGCAAGCCUCCCAGGACGGUCAAGCAGAUGUUCGAAAAAGCCAAUGAGUAUGCCAAAGCCGAAGAUGCCAUUACCACGUCCAAGCAGUCGGGCACCACUUGGAAGCCGAAGAAAGAUACACCGACUACAGGGGGGAGUGGAAGUACCAAUCACAAGGAUCGCAAGCGUAAGCCCGAGGAACUUGUGGCAACUACUACACCAUCCUCCCGACAACGUUCGCACGUCAACACCUUUGACAAGAUUAUGAACUCCCAAUGUCCGCAUCAUCCCAAUUCCAAUCACGCGGCCAAAGAUUGCUUCGUCUACAAACAGUUUGCAGAACAAUACGCCAAGAACGCACAUAAAGCCUCCGACGGAGAUCAAAGCACGUCAAAGAAGAAGGAUGGUGAAGAUGAUGCACUGACUGGUUUCCAAGACCAUCGCAAGGAGCUCAACCACAUCUUUGGUUGACCCCUGGCUUAUGAAUCCAAGAGAAAGCAAAAGCUGACCGAACGGAGAUCAACGCUGCUCAACCUGACACGCCCCAAUAUCUUCGGUGGUCAGAGACAACGAUUAAGUUUGACCGCUCGGAUCAUCCAGACCGAGUGGUCCACCCGGGACGGUACCCCCUGGUACUAGACCCGGUGGUUCACAACGUCAAGCUUCGCAGAUCCCUCAUCAAUGGUGGCAGUGCACUCAACCUCCUUUUCGCCAAGACCCUGGACGACAUGCAGAUCCCUCGCACGGAAUUAAAGCCGAGUAAUGCGCCCUUUCACAGAGUCAUCCCGGGGCUAUUUGUUACACCACUCGGCCACACUCUUCCUAUUACUUUCAGCACUCGGGAGAAUUUCCGUACAGAGAACAUCAUGUCAUACUCGGACGCCCGGCGUUAGCCAAGUUCAUGGCUGUCCCGCACUAUACCUACAUGAUGAUGAAGAUGCCUGGUCCUCGAGGAGACAUAUCCCUGCGGAGUGACAUCAAGCAAGCCGUCACAUGCGACAAGGAAAGCUGUGAGAUGGCCCAGACCCGCGAGAUCACGCUCGCCCGAGAAGAAAUCCGACUGGCUACGUCCACAGCAAGCGAAGGAGAAGUGCCCGCAACCAAGAUGCCAAAGAGCGGAGAAGGCGACGCCAAGACCAAGAAGAUUCCCCUAGAUUCCUCUGAUCCUACUAAGACUGCUGUAAUAGGCGCUGAGUUAGAUUGUAAAUAGGAAAGCGCGCUCAUCAUCUUUCUUCAAAAUAAUAAAGAUUUAUUUGCGUGGAAACUAUCUGAUAUGCCUGGUAUUCCUAGAGUGGUGAUUGAGCACUCUUUACUUGUUAAGGAAGACGCUAAACCAAUCAAGCAACGACUCCGCCGUUUUGCACAGGAUAGGAAGGAUGCGAUCAAGGAGGAAUUGACCAAGCUGUUAGCAGCAGGCUUCAUCAAGGAAGUCCUUCAUCCCGACUGGCUGGCCAACCCAGUCCUAGUUCGGAAGAAGACGGGACAAUGGCGCAUGUGUGUUGAUUACACCGACCUCAACAAGUCUUGCCCCAAAGAUCCCUUUGCGUUACCUCGCAUUGACCAGGUAGUUGACUCAACGGCCGGCUGCGAGCUACUCAGUGGAUUGGUACUCAGGAUAUCAUCAGAUCCGACUGCUUAAAGACUUCGUUCAUCACGCCCUUCGGGGCCUACUACUACAUCACCAUGCCGUUUGGAUUAAAGAACGCAGGAGCAACUUAUCAACGCAUGAUCCAAAGAUGUUUUUCAACUCAAAUCGACCGCAACGUUGAAGCUUAUGUGGAUGAUCUAGUCGUCAAGACCAAGCAGAAGGAUGAUUUGAUUACGGAUCUAGAAGAGACCUUUGCAAGCAUCCGCGCUUUCAGGAUGAAACUAAACCCUCAAAAGUGCAUCUUCGGAGUACCGUCAGGGAAGCUGCUUGGAUUUAUGGUGUCCCGUAGAGGCAUACAAGCCAACCCGGAGAAAAUCAAUGCCAUCCUCAACAUGAAACCGCCGAGCUCCUAGAAAGAUGUUCAAAAGCUGACCGGUUGCAUGGCGGCGCUCAACCGGUUUGUUUCACGACUCGGCGAGCCGGGGAUGCCCUUUUUCAAGCUGUUGAAGAAAACAGACAAUUUCUAGUGGGGACCCGAAGCACAAAAAGCCUUUGAAGACUUCAAAAAACUUCUCACUACUCCACCAGUCUUAGCUUCACCACAUCCGCAAGAGCCGCUGUUGUUAUACGUGUCGGCAACUUCCCAGGUUGUAAGCACAGUCCUAGUUGUUGAGCGUGAAGAAGAAGGCCAUGUUCAAAAAGUCCAACGACCAAUCUACUUCGUUAGCAAGGUUUUGGCUGACUCCAAGACAAGAUAUCCUCAGGUUCAAAAGCUGUUAUAUGGUGUUUUAAUGACCGUCAGCAAAUUACCUCACUACUUCCAAGGUCACUCGGUCACGGUGGUCACAUCGUUUCCACUCGGGGAUAUACUUCAUAAUCGUGAAGCAAAUGGGCGGAUAGCAAAGUGGGCCUUAGAAUUGAUGUCCCUGGAUAUAUCCUUCAUGCCGCGAACUUCGAUCAAGUCCCAAGCUUUAGCCGACUUCGUCACUGAGUGGACUGAGUGCCAAGAAGACAUGUGUCAUGCCCAGAAAUUCACGAACCAGAAUUUCGAAGCUGAAUGUGCAUUAAAUCCCUGUCUAGGACCAGCCAGGGUACACAAACGACAAUUUUUGACAUACAGAUCCACGUCUUACAAAAAUGGAGAUGAUUACAAAUGCAGCAGAAAAGAAAAACGAGCUAGACUUGGAAACUUGACUUCUGCAGCGGGGUGACUCCACUCCACAGGUAAUCCUUGACGACAGCGACGAAAUCAACUUCGGUAAGACACUUCCCACUAGGAAGAUCUUCAGCUCUGGUGUGGGGGAAAAGAGAGCAAGACUGAGUACUACCAACUGUAUUCAGCAAGUCAUACCGGAAGAGGAGGUAUGAUGCAGGAUAUAACCGAAGGAGGCUAAAGGCUCUUUGCACAAAGCAGGCAUUUAAAAACAGUAGUUGAAAGCAGUAAAACAGUUGUAGUAAUUAAUCAAUAUUAACCAAACAUUGUCCAACGCUACACCACAUUGCAAUAGGCCCAACCAACCACCUGAACUACACCAGUUCAUUAAGCUAAACUAGGGGUGAGACUAAUCACGGUAAAUCUGGUUGAUCGCCCAUAACCGCGGGCACGGCUAUUCGAAUAGUUUUACUCUGGCAGAGGUGUACAACUGUACCCACAAGACACGAUUCCACACAUGUCGCCAUGCCCCGAAGUAUCACCAUGACACUGCAAAGGGGGAAAUCGUGACAAGACCCUCCUCAUAACCCUUCCCUAACCAUCCACACCAUGCUAAGGUUUCACCCCCACCCCUCAAAAGGUAGUGGGCGGUCCCCUCUUGUGCCGCGGUGAAUCCGGCAGCUAGACAACCGGACACCCCGGCCGACCCAACUCCAUCACGCCCACCCUCGCCACCGGUGCCUAGGAAAGGGUUGAGCUAUACCUCAGAUCAAGCAGUUACCCACUCCCGCUUGUGGUAAGCACGGUAAGUCUCCCAGUGUUUCCCGUGAACCGGUCCUUAAUUGCCAUGGGUGCGACCAGCAAAACCAUGCACGCACAACCCACCAUUCAGUGUAUUUUAAAUAACUAACACCAUUGCGGUGGCACCAACCAGAACUAUGCUCAUAGUCAAAAUUGAACUAUGCUCAUGUAAUAAUGUGAUCCCCUUUUGUGUACUAGUUGAACUAAGCAUGGCUAAGCAUUUCCUAAACCAACAUCUAAUCAUUUUGAUACCCCAGUUAUCAAUGGCAUAUGGUAAACGAUAUAUGGCUGAGUAAUAGGACCCAUCCCACAUGACAUUGUAAAAGAGUGCAACAAUUAAUAGAAAUGCAAGGUAUUUGUAAAUUGGGUACAAUAUGAUCAAAUGUAAAGCAUGACUUGCCUGUCUCUCGCACUGAUGAGACCUCAGCAACGUCUUCGAGAAACCGCGGAUCGACGAAACGGCCGAAAUCUACGCGACAAACAAAGCACACAAGCAAAACAUGCUAUAAGACUACUGAAACAGGAAACAAAAUCAUUUUAAUGGAUUCUUUGCAUUUUUAUGAAUUUACUGAGACUUGAAUGGACUUAAACGAAGCUCGGAUGAAUUACAUAUGAAUUUUAGAAGAUAAACUGUGUUUUUACUAAUAAAGAAAAAGUCCUUAAUCAAUUUAUUGCGCUGUAAAUCCCAGGGCUGACGUCAUCCAAGGGGGGAGGGGCGGCUGCGCCGACAGGAGGGCUCCGCUUGUCAGCGCACAAGGGCAGGGAGAGGGGGCUCGGGCAAGUGGGCUCCACUGGCAGCGGCACAAGGUGGCCGGUCUACCGUGGACCGGGACCACGCAGGUGGUCCACCGCCGGUCCACGGGACUGACACCGGAUCGGCCCGAGACCGAUCGGACGGCGCGGGCGGCGGCUAGGCACGGCUCGGCUCGGCACAAAGCCGACCGACCGGCCAUGGCGAGCGGCGGCGGCGUGCGCGGCUGCCGACGGCGACGACCGGCGAAGGGAGGCGGCGGCGGACGACGCGAAAGGCGGCGGCGGACGGCUGGAGCGGCGACACGGCCAAAGGCGGCGGCACAGCCAAAGGCGGCGGCGCACGCGGGAAGGGGAGAAAAGGGAGGGGGAGGGAGUCGUCACCGGAGGGGCGGCGACCGGAGUGGGAGGGGAUGAGCGGCGGCAGCGCUUCGGAAAACAGCGGACGGGAGCAGCGCGACCUGGGAAAAGGCGGUGAAGGGGUGAGGGAGAAGAGAAGAGCCGCGGCACGGCGAGAAGAAAUGGCCGGAGAUGGAAACAAUGGCGAGCUCACCGGCGGCGCGAAGGAAUCGGAGCUCCGGCGGUGAUUCGCGGCAACGAAGCGGCGGCAGAGGUGCGGGUGGGCUCGGUGAGCGCGACGGCGGCGACUGCACGGCGCGGCGGCGGCUCUAGCAGCAGCGGCGCGCGGCCGGAGAUAGGCAGCGGCAGCGGCUAGGCGCGGCAGCGAUAGGGGCACGGGAGAGGGCGGCAAAUGGGGGAAACGAUAGAGGGAGCUCGGGGGAGUGAUUUAAAGGUGCGGGAGGGGGCGGACGGGGCCGGGAAGGUGGCCGAUUUGGCCGGCGACAUGGGGGAGUGGGGAGGAAGAGAGAGAGGGGGAUUCAAAUUGAACCCUGCCCACUCUCGGGCGCGCGUGGGGGCGGGAGAAGCGGGGGAGGGCCGGCGACGUGAGCGCGAGGUGUGGGCGCGGAGUGGAGGCGCGACGUGGAGCGGAGAAGGCGGGAAACGGCGGCGGCGUGGCGGUUUCGGCGGCAGCGGCGGUUGGAGCUCCGGCUCCAACGGCCGGAGGUAGGAGACGACCGAUAGGUGGGGCCCACCUGUCGGCGUCCCGAGAGAGGAGGGAGGGGCGGCUUGGGCCGGCCCACAAGGAGAAGGGGCUGCGGGAGAGGGAUAGGCCGACGGCCCAAUAAAGAAAAAGGAGGGAAAAGAAAAGAAAAAAGAGAAAAAGGAUUUUCCUGGGACUAAAAAUAUUGCACUUGCUCAAUUUUAAUUGGUUAAAAUUAUUUCCAAGGCUCUGAAAAUUUCCACUAAAAAUCAUGUUAAUGUAUUGGAGCAUGGGGAACUCAAGAAAAAUUCCACCACGCCGAAUUCGAUUAUUAAAUGCAUUUAUUAAUUAGGGAUUUAGCUCUAGGUUAAUUAAGAUAAUUUCUUCGGGCAAUUUAUUUAACCAAUUUUUUUAAAGCAAGAAAAGGGGGGGAAACUUCAGGGUGUGACAAACCUACCCCCCCUUAAACGGAAUCUCGACCCCGAGAUUCGGAAGAAUUGGUGAAGAGGUGCGGAUGGGCGGUCUUUAACUCAUUUUCUCUUUCCUAGGUGGCCUCUUCUUCUGAGUGAUGACUCCACUGAACCUUGCAGAAUCUGAUUACUUUGUUUCUGGUCCUUCUCUCGCUAGUUUCGAGGAUACGAGUCGGCUUCUCCACAUACGUCAAGUCUUUUUGGAUUUCGAUUUGAUCCGGACUUGCCUGUUCCUCAGGAACUCUCAAACAUUUCUUCAACUGAGAGACGUGGAACACAUUGUGGAUGCCAAGCAUGUUGGAGGGAAGCUCAAGCUGGUAAGCAACUUCACCUCUACGUUCCAAGAUCCUGUAUGGUCCCACAAAGCGUGGUGCCAACUUUCCUUUGGUUUGGAAGUGAUGUACUCCCCUGAGCGGAGUGACACGGAGAUACACAUAAUCCUCUGUUUCGAAAAUGAGCUCUCUUCGGCGGUUGUCUACAUAGCUUUUUUGUCGACAUUGUGCGAUUCUCAAUCUUUCCCUGACAGCUCUGACUUUCUCUUCUGCCUCAUUUAAAACUUAUGUACCAAACAACUGGCGUUCCCCUGUCUGAUCCCAGAAGAGCAGAGUACGACACCUCCAUCCAUACAGUGCUUCAAACGGUGCCAUCUGCAGACUAGCUUGGUAACUGUUAUUGUAAGAGAAUUCAGCAUACGGCAAGCUUUUGUCCCAUGCUCCACCAAAGUCAAGCGUACAGGCUCUCAACAUAUCCUCUAGUAUUUGAUUGUCACACCCUAAAAAUUCAAAAUAUAUAAAUUGUUGUUUAAUUAGAAUUUUUAGAAAUGAUUUUAAAAAAAGCCUAGAAGAGAAGAUCUAAUUUUAAUUAAUAAAUUCCAAUAUAAAAUGGGGCCAGAUAAAAUUUCAUUAAAUACUUUGCUUAAUUCUAUAAUUCCUAGAUUUUUCUGGGAUUUAUUUGAGCUAAGGAAGUAUUUUUAAUAAAUGGAAUUGUAUUUCAUGAAUAAUUUAAAUUGAAAAAGGUUUUUAAAAGUCUCUUUUGUCUUUGGGCCGAAAGUCAGCCCAAAAACCCUCUCUCUCUCUCCCCGGCCCAAGUCGGCCCAGUUCGCAGCCGCAGCCGCCCGCGCGAGUUCGCUGCCGCUGACAGGUGGGGCCCGCCUGUCGGAGUCGUCGUCUUCCUCGCGUCGGCCGCCGCCCGAAACCCUAGCGCCGCGCCGCCGUCGUCUCCUUCCAAAUUCGGUCGCGUCUUUCCCGAUCCGGUGAAAUCGAUAGAAGGGAAAUGAUCUUCGGGAUCUCCUCUACCUUUUCUCUUUUGGAAUCAUCCUCUAAAUCGCUUUGGAAAUUCGUGGAUUCGAGGUCGAAUCGGAUCGGUCUCUUUCCUCCGAACCCCGACCUUUCCUUCUCUUCGCCGGCAGCCGUGGGCCUUCGCCGCCGCUCUCCAACCCCUUUAAAAGGAUCCCCGGUGUCGCCGCUACCCGUCGCCACCCUCGCCUUCGUCUCUCGUCGUCCGUAGCGCCCUAGCGCCGUGUAACCUCGAGCCGCCGUCGCCGCCGUCGCUUCAGCCGUGCGCCGCCGCCGUUCCGGUCGUCGUCGUCGCUCGGGAAGAUCGCCAUUGUGGUCGCCAAGUCGCCGCCGUCCUCGUCCGCCCCUUCGCCGUCGCGGUAGACCGCCGGAGCAUCGCCGUCGUCGUCAAGCCGAAGGACUCCGCCGCCUUUUCCUCAACGCCGCCGCCGUCCGUUCAUCCUCCGCCGUUGCUUUGGUCACCGGUGAGUUCGCCGCGAUGCCCGCAUCGUCCUGGUGCCCUCCGUUCGCGUCGUCGUGCCGUCGUUCGCCGGCGAGCAUGCGCGCCCGAGCCGCCCGAGUCGCCGCCGGUGAUGACGUCAUCGCCGACGUCAUCGUGGCCGUCUGCCGUGAGCCGCCGUAGAUCCGCUCGAUCUCGGCCGUCCGUUUUGGAUGGAUCAAUCUCGGCCGUCCGUUCCCGUGAACCGCUGCCGUGCGCCCGGUCCACCGCAAACCCUAGCCGCUGACGCAAUAAUUCCCUUUUUCCUUUUCAAAAAUAAUUCAUUAUUGCGUCAUAAUUCAAUUAAAAUCUAUAUAAGUGUUUUAAUCCGAUUAAAUCUUCAAAAAUUCAUAUGUCGUAUACUCACCUUGCAAUCAUUCAUCAGAGGAAGAGUUCUACAAUGAUGCUGAUGGUGUGGAGGAUUAGGUGUAGCCCUAGUCAAGCUGCCUGUGGAGUGGAGUCGUCUGCGCCGUUUAUCUUAUUUUCCGCUGCUUAGAUCUUUAUUGAUUGAGAGGAACUAUCUACCUCUGUAAUGACAUUUUAUUCGCUUAUUAAUUAGAGUAAUAAUGGUACUCUAUUAUCAAUUUGUUAUUGUGUGCCUCGGCUGAUUCCUGGACGAGGGUUUACACACAUGUAAGCGUUUGGAAUUUUGGAUAGAAAUUCCGGGCGUGACAUUGAUUGACUCGCUCGGUCUAGCCAUCUGUUUGUGGAUGGUAAGCAGUGCUGAAGUUCAGAAGGGUUCCCAAUUCCUCUUGUAAUUUCUGCUAGAACUUUGAAGUGAAUUGGCUCCCUCGAUCAGACACUAUCUUCUUAGGUACCCCAUGUAAACACAUGAUUCUUGUCAGAUAAAGUUCUGCUAACCUCUUCCCUGAGUAGGUAGUAUGCACCGGAAUGCAGUGAGCCACUUUAGUGAGUCGAUCAACAACUACCCAAAUAGAAUCAUGCCCCGAUGACGUCCUGGGCAAACCCGUAAUGAAAUCCAUUCCGAUUUCUUCCCACUUCCAUUCUGGAAUCUGAAGUGGCUGUAGCAAACCUGCUGGCCUUUGGUGUUCUGCCUUUACUCGCUGGCAAACGUCACAGAGUGCGACGAAUUCAGCUAUUUCCCUUCUCAUGUUGACCCACCAGAAUUUUUCUUUGAGGUCUUGGUACAUCUUGGUACUGCCAGGAUGAAUGGAAUACUGAGUUUGAUGAGCUUCUGUCAUUAUCAAGUCCUUUAACUCCUUGUUUUCAGGUACACACAAUCUUUCCCCCAUCCAGAUUGUUCCUUGUUCAUCCUCAACAAAACCUCGGGCUUUUCCAACUCUCAUGUUCUUUUUGAGCUCUGCUAUUUUAGGGUCACUUGCUUGAGCUAUGCGAACCUGCUCCACCAGUGUGGGUUGUGCCUCUAGGGCAGCCACGAAUCCGUGCUCAACUAUACCAAGGUUCAGAUGUUCCAAAUCACAUUGAACCUCACAACAUAGUUGCUCUACCCAUGCAACAUUGCAGUAGCUCUUCCUGCUCAAGGCAUCUGCAACCACAUUAGCCUUGCCGGGAUGAUAAUGUAUUCCCAUAUCAUAAUCGUUGAUUAGCUCUAACCAUCUUCGCUGUCUGAGAUUCAAAUCAGGUUGAGUGAAGAUGUACUUUAGACUUUUGUGAUCUGUAUAUACCUCACAACGGUUACCGAUGAGAUAGUGCCACCAAAUCUUUAAAGCAUGAACAACUGCGGCCAAUUCCAGAUCAUGCGUCGGGUAGUUGCCUUCAUGAGGACGCAACUGCCAUGAAGCAUAAGAAACCACUUUGCCAUCCUGCAUCAACACACAUCCUAGCCCCUGACGAGAUGCAUCACAAUAGACCUGUAAAACUUUCGUCUGAUCAGGCAGGAUUAAGACUGGUGCAGACACCAACCGUCGUUUGAGUUCUUCAAAACUCCUAUUGCAUUCAGCAGACCAGAUAAAUUUUUCUUCCUUCUUCAAUAGCUGUGUCAUUGGCUUAGCAAUUUUAGAGAAGUUCUCAAUGAAACGGCGGUAAUAGCCCGCAAGUCAUAAGAAACUCUGAACCUGAGUGACUGUCCUUGGUGGGGUCCAUUUGGUAACUGACUCCACAUUUGCUGGAUCCACAGCUACUCCUUGAGCAUUCACGAUGUGACCGAGAAACUGAACUUCCUUAAGCCAAAAGUCACACUUGCUGAACUUGGCAUAUAGCUGGUGCUCUUUUAACUUUUCAAGUACUAGUCGGAGAUGCUGCUCAUGCUCUUCCUCGGACUUGGAGUAGAUAAGUAUGUCAUCGAUGAAAACCACGACAAACUUGUCUAGAAAUUCCAUAAACACCUUGUUCAUCAAAUUCAUGAAGAAAGCAGGUGCAUUAGUGAGUCCGAAAGACAUAACUGUGCAUUCGAACAACCCUUACCGAGCGAUGAAUGCUGUCUUUGGAAUAUCCUCUUCGCGGAUCCUCAACUGGUGAUAGCCUGAUCGUAGGUCUAUCUUAGAGAACACAGUAGCUCCUUUCAACUGAUCAAACAGAUCAUCAAUUCUUGGCAACGGAUACUUGUUCUUAAUAGUGACCUCAUUGAGUGCGCGGUAGUCGACGCACAUCCUUUUGGUUUUAUCUUUCUUUUCCACAAAGAUAACUAGAGCACCCCAAGGCGACGUGCUCGGGCGAAUGUAUCCCUUCUGUAACUGUUCAUCAACUUGGUUCUUGACUUCCGCCAACUCGUUGGCUCUCAUUCUGUAAGGCCUCUUGUGGAUCGGUGCAGUUCUAGGUACCAAGUCAAUCCGGAACUCGAUAUCCCUUUUUGGUGGCAUUGUUGUCAGAUCAUCCGGAAAAACCUCUGGAUACUCUCUGACUAUAGGAAUAUCCUCCAACUUCUUAGUGGUUUUCUCCACUGCUACCUCUUGUUCUUCACCAGCAGCCUGGUUUAAACUGAUCCCUGGCUUCUGCGGCACUGGAGACUGGAAGGUUACCACUUCUCCUUUCGCAUUGGUUAACUUGAUGGUGCGGCUAGCACAAUCAAUCACUCCUCUGUACCGUGUCAACCAAUCCAUUCCAAGAAUGACAUCAAGGUCCUUGGACUCAAGAAGAAUGAGGUUGGCUGGAAAAAUCAACCCUUGAAUUUCAACUGUCAUUGAUGGGCAGUAGUGAGUUGUGGUCAUGCCACCUCCAGGAGUAUGAACUCGCAUUGGUAUCUUAAGCUUCACUAAAGAUAACCCAUGCGCACCAGCAAAACGCUUGGAAAUGAAGGAAUGAGUUGCACCAGAAUCAAACAAUAUUACUGCCGGUGUCGAGUUGACGGGGAAUGUGCCCAAUAUAACCUCUGGUGCUGACUGCGCCUCCUCUGCAGAUGCAUGAUUGACACGGGCCUGAACGAACUUGAGUCUGGCACGUCUUGGCUUCGGGCACAUACGUACCAUGUGUCUAGGCUCGUUACAAUUGAAGCAGAGUUCGGGCUUUUCUCCAAACUUUUUGGGCUGUUCUUGCUGAGCUGACUGAACUGACUGAGCUGGAAUCAUUAGUGGACUUGGAGUAGGGUUGAGGCUGUGCUGCUCACUAUUUCUGUGACUGCCACUGUUGUUGAUGCUGUUGAAAUUGUCCGGGUGGUAAGGACGAUGGUGCCGGAUAAUCAUGGUGGAAGGUCCACCCUGAUGUCCCAUCGUGAAGCGAGGCUUCUGACUGUUCCCCUGGGAAGUUCUGAACUAAGAUGCCUUCCUUUUUCGGUUCAUUUUGUUACCCUGCUCCUCCUGACGGAUAGCUUUGUCUACCAACUUCUGAAAGUCCUCAUAAUCUCGGGAGAUCAACUGGUUGGUCAAUUCAUCAUCAAGACCCGACAAAAACUUCUCCUGCCUCUCGGCAUCAGUGCGCACGUCCUCAGGAGCGUAGCGCGCGAGGCGAUUGAACUCAUGCAAAUACUCUAUAACUGUUCUGGUUCCUUGUUGCAAGGAACGGAACUCUCUCUUCUUUGGUGCCACAAUUCCCUCGGGAACCUGUGCUUUAUUGAAACUCUGACAAAACUCUGCCCAGGUAACCUCUGUCCUAGCUGGACGGGUCCCCACGUAGUUGUCCCACCAAACAGAAGCGGGACCUUGCAGCUAGUGUGUAGCAAAAGCAACCUUCUCUUGGUCGUUGCAUUGCAAAAGGUUCAGCUUCUUCUCAAUAGCAUGAAGCCAGUCGUUGGUCUCGAUUGGGUUGGUGGUACUUGAGAAAGUGGGCAGUUUGACAUGGAGAAAUUCUAACAGUUUGGAUUGAGGAGGUGGAAGACCAAACUGCAGGUUCUGCUGCUGCUGUUGUGCUUGCUGCUGCACCUGCUGCAACACCUGAUGGUACUGUUGUUGCAUCUGUUGCAUCAUCAUUGACAUCAUCUGAGUCUGAUUGUCCAACACCUGAGCGAUCGUUGGGUUCUCGGGCGGUGGAGAUGGACUGUUGUCAGAUGCACUGUUGGCACGUGCUCCACUAAUCUGCUCUUCGCUGCCACUGACAUUGCUAGAGUCACGUGAACCAUUCCUUGUCUUCACCAUCUGAAGGGGGAUAGGUAGAAAUAUGAGAAAAGGAAGAAAAACAGGGGGCUCAGAAACUAAUAUUUCUUAUAAAUUUAGGUGCAAUUAUCUUAAUCUUGAUUAAAACACUGAAAAAGAGGCACGCAACUCUUAAUUAAGUCAGCCAUACCACUCACACAUGAUAUCGACCGCCAACUAACCCACAAGCAACAAACCUAAGCACGGAAACUAGCAAGCAAACAAAACUAAGAAGACGAUAAAACUAAGGGCGGCGACUCUGAAGCUCGGAGCGGCGAUUGCAAUCGAGGGAUAGGACUGACAUCUAAAGUAGACAAGGGAUAAGAACCAAUUCAUGCUAAAUUCCAAAUUAAACAAAGCAACAAAUGACUCAAAUAAAUAACCUAGCAUGACUGAUUUUUAUGCAUAGAACGUUUUUCAUGAACCCAGAUAAAGACACUAAUGCAACUGACUAAACAAUAAAUUAAUGCAUAAAUUAGAUGCAUAGAAAAUAAUGCGCAUAAAAUUGCCCCAUCGAACAUAGACACGACCUAAUGCAUAUCACCUGAUAGAUUCCCGACUGACUGUCAAAUAAACUCCAAAUAAAAUUUUACUAAAACCCUAGACUGAGCUAAUUUUAAAGAUCCGAUCCGAAUGAAGGACCAAGAUUUUUCCCACAAACCAAAGAGGCAAAACCCAAAAUUUUCCCGAAACAAAUCCAAGUGAAAAAGGCAUAUGCAUAUGAAAAGGGGUUCAGAGGGCUCUUAGGUUUCCAGUUGGCUUGUCCUACGGUCAGUCUCGGCUCUGAUACCAACUUGUCAUGCCCAGAAAUUCACGAACCAGAAUUUCGAAGCUGAAUGUGCAUUAAAUCCCUGUCCAGGACCAGCCAGGGUACACAAACGACAAUUGUUGACAUACAGAUCCACGUCUUACAAAAAUGGAAAAGAUUACAAAUGCAGCGCAAAAGAAAAACGAGCUAGACUUGGAAACUUGACUUCUGCAGCGGGGCGACUCCACUCCACAGGCAAUCCUUGAUGCCAGCGACGAAACCAACUUCGGUAAGACACCUCCCACUAGGAAGAUCUUCAGCUCUGGUGUGGGGGAAAAGAUAGCAAGACUGAGUACUACCCACUGUACUCAGCAAGUUAUACCGGAAGAGGAGGUAUGAUGCAGGAUAUAACCUAAGGAGGCUAAAGGCUCUUUGCACAAAGUAGGCAUUUAAAAACAGUAGUUGAAAGCAGUAAAACAGUUAUAGUAAUUAAUCAAUAUUAACCAAACACUGUCCAACGCUACACCACGUUGCAACAGGCCCAACCAACCAUCUGAACUACACCAGUUUAUUAAGCUAAACUAGGGGUGAGACUAAUCACGGUGAAUCUGGUUGAUCGCCCAUAACCGCGGGCAUGGCUAUUCGAAUAGUUUUACUCUGGCCAGAAGUGUACAACUGUACCCACAAGACACGAUUCCACACAUGUCGCCAUGCCCCGAAGUAUCACCAUGAUACUGCAAAGGGGGAAAUCGUGACAAGACCCUCCGCAUAACCCUUCCCUAACCAUCCACACCACGCUAAGGUUUUGUCACGCCCGGAAUUUCUAUCCAAAAUUCCAAACGCUUACAUGUGUGUGAACCCUCGUCCAGGAAUCAGCCGAGGCACACAAUAACAAAUUGAUAAUAGAGUACAAUUAUUACUCUAAUUAAUAAGCGAAUAAAAUGUCAUUCCAGAGGUAGAUAGUUCCUCUCAAUCAAUAAAGAUCUAAGCAGCGGAAAGAAGAUAAACGGCGCAGACGGCUCCACUCCACAGGCAGCUUGACCAGGGCUACACCUAAUCCUCCACACCAUCAGCAUCAUUGUAGAACUCUUCCUCUGAUGAAUGAUUGCAAGGUGAGUAUAUGACAUACUCAACAAGUCACGCAGCAAAUAUGCAAGUGCACAGGAUACCAAAGGAUGGCAUAGUAGGGUUUCAUUUGCAUAAACAACAUUUAAUAAACAUUUCAGAAUUUAAUAAAACGGUUAAGUAAUAAUUAAACACUAUUAAUCCAACGCUAUACAACAUACCCUGUUGUAUAGGCCCAACCAUUCUGAACAACCAUACCCGGCUGUACAGAUCUAUCUCCAAACCAGGAAUAUACCAUUCCAAACCAGGAGCUAAACAAAUUAUUACCAUUUAUAGCAUCUGUUAUCAUGAUGAGAGGUGUGAGACUAAUCACGAAAGACAUUGUUAGACCCGCCCAUAACCGCGGGCACGGCUAUUCGAAUAGUUUUACUCUGGCCAGAGGUGUACCACUGUACCCACAAGACAGCCCCACAACAUGUCACCAUGUGCCUCAAUACCACCACGGUACCUCGGAAAGGAGCUGUGACAAUACCCCUCGCACAACACAAUCCACCACAGGGCACCUUUCCUGGAUCAUAAUCACCCCGUUAUAAACAAGGCAUGGACUCCCCAGCGACCCCCGUGGGCUUAUCUCCGCCACUUCUCAGUCUGGUGCUCCGCAAUGAACCAUGCUAUACAAAAGGUAAAGCCGUUGCCCACGCUGGCUUGUGGUUGGCACGGUUAAUGUUUCACAACCGAAACUCGUGAACCGGUCCUUAAUUGUCAUGAGCAUGUCUCUCAAAACCAUGUGCUCACAACCCACCAUUAUCAAGUUUUAGUUGGCAAGUAAUUAAUUAACCAAUCACGAUUGGCCAUCGUGAGCUAUCAUUAAGCCAUCAUUAAAUAAUAGUGAAUCAUAAGUUAUCCCAAUAGUGUGCUAAUGUUUCUAAGCAUGGCUAAGCAAUCAUAUCUAAUAUCUAGCUGAACCAAUAUAUAUAUAGCCCAACUAGUCAAGUUAUAAAAACCCAAGGUAUCAAGGAAUAAAGUAAUCAAGAACAAAAGGAUUAUAACAAACAAUAGGUUAAUUCCACCCAAUGACAUUCGAAAAUAAAUGCAAUAGUUGAAUAGAAACAAUAGCUUUAAACGGGAUCAACAUGCUCAAAGGGUUGUUUGGGAUCUGUGUGACUUGCCUUGCUGGCCCUGGAACUCUUCAAAAUCUUCCCCUGCGAAAACGGACUCUCCGGAAACGUCGGAAUCUAAACAGAAAAGAGCAAAAUCACCAAAACAGCAUAUAAACAAGCAUGAACAGUACAUGUGGAUAUUUUUAACAUGUAGAUCUCAAUUUUAGAAAAAUUUAGAGACUUGAACCAACUAAAUCCGAGCUAAGAUGAAUUAGUUAUGAAUUUUCAAAGAUUAAAUCGAUUUAAAUCACUUAUAUGGAUUUUAAUUGAAUUAUGACGCAAUAAUGAAUUAUUUUUGAAAAGGAAAAAGGGAAUUAUUGCGUCAGCGGCUAGGGUUGCGGUGGACCGGGCGCACGGUGGCGGCUCACGGAAACGAACGGCCGAGAUCUUUCCAUCCAAAACGGACGGCCGAGAUCGACCGGUCCACGGCCGGACCACGAGAGACGACGAUGAUGACGUCAGCGGUGACGUCACCACCGACGGCGGCUCGGGCUUGCAAACUCGCCGGCGAACGACGGCGCGACGACGCGAACGGAGGGCACCAGCACGUAGAGGGCGACGCGGCGAACUCACCGGUGACCAAAACGGCGGCGGAAGAUCAACGGACGGCGACGGCGUCGAGGAAGAAGCGGCGGCACUCUUCGGCUUGACGACGGCGACGGUGCUCCGGCGGUCUUCAGCGACGGCGAAGGGGUGGACGAGGACGGCGACGCGACGGCGACCACGACGGCAGCCUUCCCGAGCGACGGCGACGACUGGAGCGACGGCGACGCACGGCUGGAGCGGCGGCAACGACGGCGGCGCGAGGUCUCACGGUGCUAGGACGCUACCGACGGCGAGAGGCGAAAGCAAGGGUGGCGGCGGGUAGCGACGGGCUUGGGGAUCCUUUUAUAGGGGUUGGAGGGCGGCGGCGAAGGCCCACGGCGACCGGCGACGCGAUGGAAGGUUAGGGUUCGAAGGAGAGAGGCCGAUCCGAAUCGAACUCGAAUCCACGAACUUCCAAAGCGAUUUAAACGAUGAUUCCAAAAGAGAAAAGGUGGAGGAGAUCCCGGAGAUCAUUUCCCCUCUAUUGAUUUCACCGGAGAAGGAAAGGGGCGGCCGAAUUUGGAAGGAGACGACGGCGGUGCGGCGCUAGGGUUUCGGCCGGUGGCGGCUGGAGGUUGACGACGACCCCGACAGGCGGGACCCACCUGUCAGCGGCAGUGAGCGCUCGCGCAGGCGGCUCGGCUACGGACUGGGCCGACUUGGGCUGGGGAGAGAGAGAGAAGGUUUUGGGCCGACUUUCGGCCCAAAGCCAAAAGAGACUUUUAAAAUCCUUUUUCAAUUUAAAUUAUUCAUGAAAUGCAAUUCCAUUUAUUAAAAAUACUUCCUUAGCUCAAAUAAAUCCCAGAAGAAUCUAGGAAUUAUAGAAUUAAGCAAAGUAUUUAAUGAAAUUUUAUCUGGCCCCAUUUUAUAUUGGAAUUUAUUAAUUAAAAUUAGAUCUUCUCUUCUAGGCUUUUAAAAUCAUUUCUAAAAAUUCCAAUUAAACAACAAUUUAUACAUUUUGGAUUUUUAGGGUGUGACAGGUUUCACCCCCACCCCUCAAAAGGCAGCUGGACAACCGGACACCCCGGCCGACCCAACUCCAUCACGCCCACCCUCGCCACCGGUGCCUAGGAAAGGGUUGAGCUAUACCUCAGAUCAAGCAGUUACCCACUCCCGCUUGUGGUAAGCACGGUAAGUCUCCCAGGGUUUCCUAUGAACCGGUCCUUAAUUGCCAUGGGUGCGACCAGCAAAACCAUGCACCCACAACCCACCAUUCGGUGUAUUUUAAAUAACUAACACCAUUGCGGUGGCACCAAUCCAGAACUAUGCUCAUAGUCAAAGUCUAUGUAAUAACUAAGCAUGGCUGAGCAUUUCCUAAACCAACAUCUAAUCAUUUUGAUACCCCAGUUAUCAAUGGCAUAUGGUAAAUGAUAUAUGGCUGAGUAAUAGGACCCAUCCCACAUGACAUUGUAAAAGAGUGCAACAUUUAAUAGAAAUGCAGGGUGUUUGUAAAUUGGGUACAAUAUGAUCAAAUGUAAAGGAUAACUUGCCUUGCUCUCGCACUGAUGAGACCUCAGCAACGUCUUUGAGAAACUGCGGAUCGAUGAAAUGGCCGAAAUCUACGCGACAAACAAAGCACACAAGCAAAACAUGCUAUAAGACUACUGAAACAGGAAACAAAACCAUUUUUAAUGGAUUCUUUGCAUUUUUAUGAAUUUACUGAGACUUGAAUAGACUUAAACGAAGCUCGGAUGAAUUACUUAUGAAUUUUAGAAGAUAAACUGUGUUUUUACUAAUAAAGAAAAUGUCCUUAAUCAAUUUAUUGCGCAAUAAAUCCCAGGGCUGACGUCAUCCAAGGGGGGGGGGGCGGCUGCGCCGACAGGUGGGCCCCGCUUGUCAGCGCACAAGGGGAGGAAGAGGGGGCUCGGGCAAGUGGGCCCCACUGGCAGCGGCACAAGGUGGCUGGUCUACCGUGGACCGGGACCACGCAGGUGGUCCACCGCCGGUCCACGGGACCGACGGUCCGGAUCGACCCGAGGCCGAUCGGACAGCGCGGGCGGCGGCUAGGCACGGCUUGGCUCGGCACAAAGCCGACCGACCGGCCAUGGCGAGCGGCGGCGGUGCGCGCGGCUGCCGAUGGCGACGACUGGCGGAGGGAGGCGGCGGCGGACGGCGCGAAAGGCGGCGGCGGACGGCGCGAAAGGCUGCGGCGGACGGCCGGAGCGGCGACACGGCCAAAGGCGGUGGCACGGCCAAAGGCGGCGGCGCACGCGGGAAGGGGAGAAAAGGGAGGGGGAGGGAGUCCUCACCGGAGGGACGGCGACCGGAGCGGGAGGGAAUGAGCGGUGGCAGCACUUCGGAAAACGGCGGACGGGAGCGGCGCGACCUGGGAAAAGGCAGUGAAGGGGUUAGGGAGAAGAGAGGAGCCGCGGCACGGCGAGGAGAAAUGGCUGGAGAUGGAAACAAUGGCAAGCUCACCGGCGGCGCGAGGGAAUCGGAGCUCCGGUGGUGAUUCGCGGCAACGAAGCGGCGGCAGAGGUGCGGGCGGGCUCGGUGAGCACGACGGCGGCGACUGCGCGGCGCGGCGGCGGCUCUAGCGGCGGCGGCGCGCGGCCGGAGAUAGGUAGCGGCAGCGGCUAGGUGUGGCGGCGAUAGGGGCACGGGAGAGGGUGGCAAAUGUGGGAAACGAGAGAGGGAGCUCGGGGGAGUGAUUUAAAGGUGCGGGAGGGGGCGGACGUGGCCGGGAAGGUGGCCGAUUUGGCCGGCGAUGUGGGGGAGUGGGGAGGAAGAGAGAGAGGGGGAUUCAAAUUGAACCCCGCCCACUCUCGGGCGCACGUGGGGGCGGGAGGAGCGGGGGAGGGGUGGCGACGUGGGCACGAGGUGUGGGCGCGGAGUGGAGGCGCGACGUGGAGCGGAGAAGGCGGGAAACGGCGGCGGCGUGGCGGUUUUGGCGGCAGCGGCGGUUGGAGCUCCGGCUGUAACGGCCGGAGGUAGGAGACGACCGACAGGUGGGGCUCACCUGUCGGCGUCCCGAGAGAGGAGGGGCGGCUUGGGUCGGCCCACAAGGAGGAGGGACCACGGGAGAGGGAUGGGCCGACGGCCCAACAAAGAAAAAGGAGGGAAAAGAAAAGAAAAAGAGAAAAAGGAUUUUCCUAGGAUUAAAAAUAUUGCACUUGCUCAAUUUUAAUUGGUUAAAAUUAUUUCCAAUUCUCUGAAAAUUUCCACUAAAAAUCAUGUUAAUGUAUUGGAGCAUGGGGAACUCAAGAAAAAUUCCACCACGCCGAAUUCGAUUAUUAAAUGCAUUUAUUAAUUAGGGAUUUAGCUCUAGGUUAAUUAAGAUAAUUUCUUCGGGCAAUUUAUUUAACCAAUUUUUUUAAGGCAAGAAAAGGGGGGGAAACUUCACGGUUUGACAACAUGCCCGUGGAGAAGAUGAAGUAUUGGACCAUGCAUUUUGACGGGUUGAAGAGGCUUUCAGGCACCGGAGCGGGGGUUGUUCUAAUUUCCCCGACUGGAGAAAGACUGAGCUACGUAUUGUGGAUACAUUUUUCUGCGUCUCACAACAUGGCAGAAUGCGAGGCGCUUCUUCACGGACUAAGGAUCGCAAUCUCUUUGGGAAUUCGGCGUUUGAUAGUUCGUGGAGAUUCUCAGUUGGUUUUUAAUCAAGUUAUGAAGGAGUGGUCCUGCCUUGAUGAUAACAUGACCGCUUACUGACAGGAGGUACGUAAGUUAGAGGACAAAUUCGAUGGACUUGUGCUCACCCAUGUUCUUCGACACAACAAUGAGGCAGCCGACAGAUUGGCUAAUUUUGGUUCAAAACGAGAAGCAGCUCCUUCCACGUGUUUAUUGAACAUCUCUAUGAGCCAACCGUACCAAGGAAAGAAACAAUCGAGGCCACGGACACUCAAGACGUAAACAUGAUUGAAUCCGACUGGAGAGAGCCCCUCAUAAUAUUUUUAACAAAACAAGAACUCCCUCAAGAUAAAGAUGAAGUCGAGCGGAUCUCCAGGUGCAGCAGACUUUAUGUCAUUCAUGAGACUGAACUGGACAAGAAGAGUCCAUCGGGAGUCCUGCAACGCUGCGUUUCUUUGGAGGAGGGAAGACAAUUGCUAAGAGAUAUACAUUCAGGCAUCUGUGGCAAUCACACUGCCGCACGAACCAUCCUUGGUUCGUAAGGCUUACCGGCAAGGUUUUUUCUGGCCCACAGCCGUGUCCAACACUGACAAAAUUGUGCGAACAUGUGAGGGUUGUCAAUUUUUUGCCCGACAAACUCAUCUACCAGCUCAGGAGUUGCAAACCAUCCAAUUGUCUUGGCCGUUUGCGGUUUGGGGGCUCGACAUGGUCGGCCCAUUUAAAAAGGCAGUCGGUGGUUAUACUCACCUCUUUGUGGCUGUUAACAAAUUUUCCAAGUGGAUUGAAGCCAAACCGGUCAUCACAAUCACGGCAGACAAGGUUAGAGAUUUCUUCAUCAACAUUAUGCACCGGUUUGGGGUACCCAACAGGAUCAUUACGGAUAACGGUACUCAAUUCACGGGUGGGGUAUUUAAAGAUUUCUCUGAGGACUUCGGCAUCAAAAUUUGUUAUGCCUCCGUAGCGCAUCCUAUGAGCAAUGGACAAGUCAAACGCGCCAAUGGCAUGGUACUCCAAGGAAUAAAAGCACGAGUUUUCGACAGACUGCAUCCCUAUGCCGGCAAGUGGGUAGGACAGCUGCCGUCUAUAUUUUGGUCCUUGCGCACCACUCCCAGUUGGGCUACGGGCCAAUCACCGUUUUUCCUAGUAUAUGGAGUGGAAGCAAUGUUGCCCAGUGAGGUGGAAUAUGAAUCUCUACGUUUUCGUAACUUCAGCGAGGAGCGCUACGGAGAAGACCGAGUAGAUGAUCUCAACCGACUGGAAGAAGCCCGCGAAGCAGCCUUAAUUCAGUUGGCUCGGUACUUGCAAGGGAUGCGCCGUUAUCAUAAUCGCAAUGUUCGAUCACGAGCUUUUUUAGUCGGCGACCUGGUUUUGAGAACAAUUCAAACUACAUGGGAUCGGCACAAGUUAUCUCCCUUGUGGGAAGGACCAUUCAUAAUUUCUGAAGUCACUCGGCCAGGUUCUUACCGACACAAGCGUGAAGACGGUACUCCUAUCGACAACUCUUGGAAUAUCGAACAUCUUCGUCAUUUUUAUGCUUAGGCAUUACUUUUGUAUUUCCCUCUUUGACUACUAACAUCAAGUUUUUCCUUGAGUUAUCAGUCGGGGGCUACUAUAAUAAUAAUGGAGUGUGAUUUUUAUCAAUUCAAUUUGCUUACUUGAUUUAUCAUUGCCUUGUUUGGUUUUUUGGCUCAGUCAAUGAAGACUGAAAGUUUUUAAGAACUUUUGCGGGUUCUAGGCUCAAUAAGGUUUGACAAAAACUUUUAAGAAAUCAGGAGCUGAGUUUAAAUCAUCAAGCAUAGCAUAAAUUCAUCAGUAUUGUACAAAUUGUGCCUCCAUCAUCAUUAUCAUCAUCAUCAUCAUUGUUAUAAUACAACAUCAAUCAGUAUCAGUUUUUUCAUCAUCGGAAUUAUUAGAUCCAGUCGGCCGGAGGUCGUUGUCCUGGAAUCUCUCAACUACAUCAACGACUAUCUUAUCGGCGGCUUUCUGCGCAUCAUUGAUAAGGUCAAGGGCGGCUUCUUCGCUUGUCCCGUCUGCAAAGCCAUCAACGGCGUCAAUGUCAAUCUUCGGGUACAAAGACUUGGUCAUUGCCAACGCUAAGCUCGCUCCCAUACUUCCAGCUUCCUUGAUAUUCUUAAAAUAUGUAUCCAGAGCAAUUCUCAGCUUGUCGAAGAUUUCGGAAGCAUCGAAUGUACUCGGACCAUUGUUAUUGAAGAACAUGGCUUGGACGAGUGGUGUAGCGGCGUUGGCGACUUCAUCUCUAGCUCCCUCAAGCCUCUUAAUUUUGUUGACCAAGACAUCGAAUUGAGCCUGAGAUUUGAUCUUGCGAUCUACAUAAAUAGAUUUAUAUCAACGAGUGGGCAUAAAGAAAGGAAUGGUUUUUGAAGUAUUAGUUACCAGUACCUUCAACAUCUUUCAGAGCCAAGUCCCUCUGUCUUGCCAAUUCGGCAUUGUCUUUCUCCAGAGCUUGGAUCCGCUUUUCCAGCUCGGAUAUCUUGGCAGCUUGCACUGUAUUUCUUCUUGUUGGUUGAUAUCACAUGGAUGGUAGCAUAAAUAAGUCAGACAAAUAUUGUAUUUACCUUUUGACGAUCCGCUCAGUUCAAAGUUGGAGUCUUGGAGCUCAGCGAUUCGGUCUCUCAGGUCAUGCUCAGUCUUCCUGGCAAGCUCCUUAUAUCAACAUAAAUAGAUUUAUAUCAACGAGUGGGCAUAAAGAAAGGAAUGGUUUUUGAAGUAUUAGUUACCAGUACCUUCAACAUCUUUCAGAGCCAAGUCCCUCUGUCUUGCCAAUUCGGCCUUGUCUUUCUCCAGAGCUUGGAUCCGCUUUUCCAGCUCGGAUAUCUUGGCAGCUUGCACUGUAUUGCUUCUUGUUGGUUGAUAUCACAUGGAUGGUAGCAUAAAUAAAUCAGACAAAUAUUGUAUUUACCUUUUGACGAUCCGCUCAGUUCAAAGUUGGAGUCUUGGAGCUCGGCGAUUCGGUCUCUUAGGUCAUGCUCAGUCUUCCUAGCAAGCUCCUUAGCUUCGUGUAGCUGGUUUCUAGUGGCCUCAAGGGUUCCAAGAUGGGGAACUAAUUUCUCAAGAGUCGCAGUCUUCGCCUCGUUCCUGAGAUGGAUUCUCUGCAAUGCAAAUUUAUCCGUAUUUGAGCAAAGUGGCUGACAGGAUGAUUGAAGCUGAGUAUAAGAAGACUUACAUUUACGAGGCGAGUAGCUUGGCCGAGUGUCUUUUUCAGCAGACAUACUUCCUUGUCCUCUUUUUGUUUAUUUAUUACGAUCCCCUAGGGCUGCAUGUCGUCAUCCCACCACUUGACUAAUAUGGGUGGGCGAGAAUCUUCAGCCGAUUGUAUCCGGAGGACCUCUUCUUCGUCGCCGACCAUCGGGCCUUAGGCAUUCAUGAAUAAUGGUGAAACAAUUGAAGAAAGUCUGUCGGAUCAAAAUAGAUUUGGAGGAUUUGCUUACCUGUUAUGAUUUCUGGUCGGGGACGAGCAGGUCCUUGCACCCUAACAGGGGAAUUAGUUCCAGAGUUGGCGCCAGCGCUCGCCUUGGGAGGGCUAUCAGGCUGGGUCUCUACCUCCGAGAUGUCAUUAUUUUGCUCUGUACCCGACUGAUUUCCAGUCGAGGGCUCCUGAUUAGCACCAACUCCUGCUUCGGCCGACUGAUUUCCAGUCGGGGGCUUGUCGCUGGUCUCUACGUUGUCAGUUGCUGGUUGAUUAUCACUCGGGCGAUCUUCGGCGGUCGGCUCGGUUUCUUUUGAAGGGCCCGUCUCCAUGUCAGUCGGCUCAGAGUCUUUUCCAGAAGGAUCUAUGUCAGAUGGCUUCCUACAAAUUUGAGUUAUGCUAUCAGUGCUAUUUCGAUAGUUAGUGAGCAGCAAUACAAGGAAGAGGGCUAAAUGAUUUGUACUUGGAGGACUUCCUGAUUUUCGGCAUGGGACGACUGGAUGUUUUCUUCUUUGGGUUAGCUUGCCUUCUUGGUUUUCCAGUCACCCCCUUGCUGCCAACUUUUUCAGAGUCAUCAUUUUUGUCGUCGCUCAGAACCAAUUUCCUCUUGCAGAAGUCUGAUUGGUUGGCUGAUUGAGUGGUGCUGGGUUGAGAAUCAGACCGGAUAUUUGGUCCUCCGCCAGCUUGACCAGUUUGACGACGGGGUGAGCGGCGUUGAGCAGUUGGAGGGUCUAACUUCAUCAAGGCGAAUUCCUGGGCAUGAUGAUUCACGUUUUCAAUCAACUUUGUAGAUGAUAAAAGCAUGCUUUCGAGAAAGGCUGAAAUUUUAAAUACAUACCGCUGGAGGGGGGUUGAAGGCAUUGUAUGGCACCACUGGCAGCAAGUGUGAAUAGCUAACUACGACUGCAUUUGAGAAGAGUUUAUACAUUCUCUCCUUCAUAACCUUAAAUUCAAGAGAUUCAGGAUCUUCACGGUUAGGGUCAUGCUUGCCGUCGAAUUCAAAGGCCGUGCGAGAUCUUUCUUUGAUUGGGGCCAGUCAGCUCUUGAUAAAGUGCCGGGUGAUCUGUUCUCCUUGCAGACCUUGCUCCUUUAGUUUCAGCAUACAGUCCAUCAGGGCAAGCGCCUGAGCGGCUUCCUUUCCCAUUAGAAGUGAGUUCCAAGUGUCCUGAUAAACUGGAGGAAGACAGGAGUACUCGGGGAGUGCAGGCUCGGGGUUUUGUACAUAGAACCAAUUUGCAUGCCAGCCUUUGUUUGAAGUUUUGAAGGGCAUGGACAAAUACUUUUGGCUCAGAGUUCCCCUCAGUUGAAAUCCAGCACCCCCAACUACGCAUGGCUUGCUCUUGUUCGGUUGGGGUUUGAGGAAGAAGAUAUAGCAGAAUAGGGCAAAAUGUGGCCUGACGCCCAUAAAAGCUUCGCAGGCAUGUAUGAAGUUGGCAAUAUGAACUAUGGAAUUCGGGUUUAGGUGAUGCAAACUAAUCCCAUAGAAAUCCAAAAUCCACCGGAAGAAUCUUGAGGUUGGAAGAGAGAACCCACCGUAAAAGAAAUAGGAGAACACCAUGACCUCGUGUGUGUCCGGGGUCGGGAAUGCUUCGUCGUACGCCGAACGCCAUCCAAUGAUCUCCUUCGCUGGAAGAACACCAUGUGCUACCAUUUCCUUCAAGCUUUCCACCGUGACGUCGGAGGGCGCCCAUUGGCUCUCGAAGCUUUCUCUCUCCUCUACCAUGGAUGUGAAUUGGAUGAUGCAAUUUGCUUUCGAAAUGGCUGGGGAUGGAUGGGGGAUUGAUGCGGUGGAUGCGCGGAUGGUUUCUGUGGAGUUUUGGAAGGGGGAUUUGAGCGAAUCGGAGAACCCUAGUUCCGCCGGAGUGGUUUGGCACUGUAGCGAGGAAUGGGGAAAAUGGCGAAAGUCUCGGUGGGGAAGACGAAGCGGCGUUUGGUUUUUUGGUGUUAUUAGGGUAUCGGGAGUACUAAUGGGCCUGGGCCUAAAACAGUACUUCAACCCAAUUCUGUUAUCGGCGUGGCUAAGUUGUGAUCCGUAGGGACUUAGGCAUUUUUGCUUCGGCAAUUUUCGCUCACAAUAGUAUGGCCCAAUGCUGUUAAAAUCCUUUUUGAUGCAGUUAGAUAAUUCCUUGGAAUUACUACGAUGCAAAUAAAAAGGUACCCGACAGAAAGGUGUUAUACUUCUUCUUGUAAGUCUUUUUAGGCUGCAAAGGCUGUUUGGGUUUCGUUGAGAUGAUUGGUUUUUGAACAGUCAUUCUCUCAGCAUGUUAUAUGCUUAUUUUGAUUAUGGCAUGAGUCAUAGCCUAGGCUAUUUCGACUCAUUAAUUGCCGUGCUGCCAUAUUUAUACCACAUUUGAUGGAUCUUUGAGAGUUUUUACUCAGAUUCUUGUCAUAUGUGCUGAUUUAUGGACCUUUAGAGUAUUUUUUACUCGGGCCUCUUUAUAUUUCCAUUUUUGGUAUAUUAAAGCUAAAGUAGUCGGCUGGAUGUUUUAUUAAACGUCGCAUAUGCUUAGUUGUAUAAUAUUUUGGAUGAUUCGGUUGUAAAACCACUCGGAUGGAUGUUAUUUGCACUUUGACUAUGUGUUUAGCCUUUAGCUACUCACCUAGUCGGGGGCUACACCUAAUUAGGUUUAUCUAUUCGAUGCACCUAAUUAUUUAUUUUUAGCCCUUCACAGUCUUUGAUUUUGGUACUCUGGAGAUCAAUGCAGAAGAAAGUGAAGCACUUGGAUUAUCAUUUUGCGCUCCGACAGAAGGCUAUUUCGUCGACUGUAAAGGUCUCAGGGGCUACUGUGGAGAUUAUGGAUACCCCCUACCUACACGGCAUGUAUAGUCCGACUGGGAAUGGGGUGCCACGUGUAGAUAGAAUAUCUUUAGAAGGACUCGGGUUAAAUUCUAAACUUGUAUGUCAAGGAAAUAUCAGAGAUCCUAGUCGGUUACGAUUGUAUUUUAUCUGUAACUACAUAUUCCGUUAGGGAUAUGGACUGUAGUUUGUAAUACGGACCCCUUCCCCUAUAUAAGGAGGGGUCCGGGUGCCUCUAGGGGCACGAUUUUUUUCCCAGAUCACACGAUCAAUAAUAUACUCGGCGGAUCAAUCCUCGGACAGGAGUAGGGUAUUACUUCUUGAUUAAGAAGGCCUGAACCUGUAUAAAAUUCCUUGUCUUUAAACCCAUCCACUUUUGCAGCUUGAUAGCCACCCCCUUUUAGUAUUACCGAAAUCUUGUUUCGACAAGCGGUUAUAAAUCCACUUUUCAAAAUGUAAGUAUCGAUUGAACCAUUUGCCAUAUCAAUGUUAAUUCAAUCUUAUCUUGUCACCGAAACAAGACGCUCCGCGUAACUUGAAGUUAAAAUUUUCAUAUUUGAAGGCCUGGUCGCGGAAAUAUCAAUUUAUAAGUUAAAAACAUUAAGCAUUAUUGCCUCAAUAAAAUUCAUAUAUGCUUAAUAGUCCACGUUAAUUCCCAUGCAUAUCAGUUUCAUUUGUUUUAACCUAAAGUCACAAAAUAUAGCUGUUGCUCUAUCCUGAGAGUGAAUAGGUAGGCAUUUUGUUCUUUACUGGUAUCGUUGAUGACCGCUGUGAUACAAUCGGACCAUGGUUUGAUGCUAGCAAGGGGCUAUUUUCACUUAUGUUCUGCCUCCUAAAUGUCCUUUCGUUCUUACAUCUAGUACCGUGAGAAAAAUCUAGCUAGUUCUAUAGGCAAAUCGUUGCCAAUACGUGCUAGCCGAACUGUUGUGAGAAGCAAUGCCUCCUAAGUCACGAUUUCGUUCCCUUUCGUGAUUUUUUGUUUCUAACGUGUUUUUUUAACUCCUCUGCAAAAUAAACGCAAGCUAAUCUUUCAGAUUUUUCACCAAAGUGGUCAUAAAAUUGAUGACGUUCUUAAAGGCUAUCAUAAGAUUUUUGUCACGGAAUGUCUAAACUGUUGUAGUAUUAGACAUAUUGUCGUAAAGGCACUUUACUACAUAUCUCAUUUGAACGUAUGCAGUUAUUGAUAACUAAUAUAUUUGUCAUAACUCACUUUACACAUACAAAUAUAUGUCUAGAUAUAUCAUUAAAGUUCCACGCGCCCUUGACAUGUAAAGUGCAUUUGUAAAACAAUAGCUUACAAUACAUAACAAAAUUAGUUUGAAAAGGACAGCAAUCCAUGUCACUGUCACGUCCUGAUAAAUUCAUCCCGAAAUAAAAAUCAUUCCCUAAAAGGAAUAAUAGAAUAAAUUAAAAUUCGAAAAGAAAUUGGCAAACACUAAAAUACGUACAAGAAAAAUUCGAAUGUGGCCCGGAGAAUUUUUGUUAAAUUCUCCUUGCUCUAAAAUGAGCCCUCAAAUUUUACUUGAAUUUUCAGAGCACCGGAAAUAUUUAUUAAGCAACAAAAACAAUUAUCAAAGUUUAAUAAAAAGAAAACCUAAAAAUAAUCCUCCUUUUCCUUUGGGCCAAGUCUAGCCCAAAGCCUCCCUCUCUCUCCCCCGGCCCGCGGCCGAAGUCCUUCCCUCCUCCCUUUCUUUUUCCCUCCCCCUCCUGGCCCACUCCCUCCUCCUCCCUCUCCCUCCCGGGCUGCCUCUCCCUCCUCUCCUCCUGGGCCGCCUCCGGGCCCAAGCCGAGAGGCGCCCUCCCGCCCGUGCCGCGCACGUGCGAGCGCUGACCGCGCGCCCGCGUGGGGCCCACGCGCCAGGUCGUUGUCCUCCUCCCGCCCAGCCUCCUCCUCUCUCCUCCGUGAACCCUAGCCAUUUCCUCCCUCAAAUCCGCGCGAUUCAAACCGGGAAUUCCAAAAUUGAUUAGGGGGAAUUAAUCCCCUUUCCCUCGUCUCUCUUUCCCCCUCAAUUCCCCCUUGAAUGGCGCCCCCAAUCGCCGGGAACGGACGCGCCAACUCCGGCCGCUUUCCAUGGUCGCCGGCCGCCAUUUCCGCCGCCGUUCCCCGCUCCUCCCGUGCUCAGCUCGCUUCCCUCCGCUAUAAAACGGAAUCCCCUCGCUCCGUUCUAUCGUUUUAGCCCCCUCCCGCGAUCUCCUGUGGUCCCUAGCCACCUCCCCGCCGUCGUCCCCUCUCUCCCGUGCCACCGGCCGUCUUCAGCCGCCCCUGCCGCCGCGUUAGCACGCCGGCCGGCCGUGCCGUCGCCUCCUCCAGCGUCGCAGCCGCCUCCUCUUCGCCGGCCUGCCCUCUGUUUCCCGCGAAGACCUCCGGAAGUGCAUCCCCGCCGGCAACAGUGGCGUUGCCGCCACUGUUCCGCCUCCAGCCGCCUCUGCCGCGUCCCCUGUGCGCCGGCCGACGUCGCCACCACCUCUCCCGGCACCGGAACGCCAUCCUCUUCCCCGGCCAAGCCACGGCGUCGCCCGUAUUUCGUCGGAUCGCCGUCGCGCGCACCGCCUCUCCCUCGGUCUCGUCGGCACCCACUCCGGCAGCCCCUUUUGCCGUGCCAGUGCGCCGGCCGACGUCGCCGUCUCCACCUCCGGCAUCGCAGCGGCAAGGUCGCCCUCGGCCUCGCCUCCCCUUCGACCGAACCCCUCCGCGGUCCAUCGUCGUCGUCUCCGUUCGUCCUUGUUGACGACUCCUCCGGUCGGUCGUUCGUCCUCGCCGGCUCGUCGUCUCGCUGCGCCGCCACCCUCGUCGUCAUCGUAGCAGCGUGUUCCGCACCGUCCUCGUCUCUGUGCAGCUGCUGCCGGCUGCCCUCAUCGCCUCCUCGCCGGUUCCUGUCGUCGUCCUCUCGUCGUUCCCGGUCGUCGUGGUGUUCGUCCCUCCGUCAAGCCAUUCUCGUCUGUCGUCCGCGUCCGUCAAGUGUGCCUCUGCAGCCCCGUCGUCGUCUUCGUCCUCGCCUCCGCGUCACCAAGCGUUGCGCCGGCCGCGUCUCGCCUUCGUCCAAGGAUCGCCGCCGAAGUCGUCCCCUCGCCUUUCAUCUCCGUCAUUCCUGGCCGUCUCCGCCGCGCCCGUUCGUCGUUGUCGUUCCCUCGCCUCGUCGCGUGGUGGUAAGGAUCUCUCCUUCGCUGCCCCGUCCUCGUCCUUUCGGUGUUGCCCGUGCCCGUUGUGCGGUUGUCGACCCCGGUACCCGUGUACCGGUGUCGGUAGUCGUUCGCUUGUGCGUGUGGUGACCGUGUUAGUGUGCCCGCUCGGUAGCCGCGUGGUUUCCACGUGUGCAGCCCGUGUGGUGUCUAGUGGAGUCCGUUUGUCGGCCACUCGCCUCAGUUGACACACGGGAUCUGCUUCUGUCGACCCGUGGACCGUCUCUGUGUACUCGGUCUACCGUGGUCCUUUAGGUUGACAUGUGGGGUCCGCAUGUCAACGGCACAGCCUUCCUGUCUUUUCCAGGCUAGCGCUUACACAUGUUUUAUAGUUGCAAAACCUAAUUAUAAUAAUCCGCAAAUCUCCAUGUAACAGCAUUAAACUUCGGAUGAUCAUAUCUUGGUCAUACGAGCUCCGAAUCGAUCCGUUCAAGUCUCCUAAUGUUUCUUAUAACCUAAAGAACCCUGUGCUUUCUUUUUAUUAUUGUUAUUGCUUCUUUAUAGGCUUGUAGCUUUGCUUGUGUGCUUCGCGUAGUCUUCGUCGUUCCGGAGGUUCCCGAAGCGUGGUUUGCGGUCGUCGCCGAAGGUUCGGAAGGCCGUUAUCUCUGAGCAAGGCAAGUCACAUCAUCCUUGAACAUAUUGAAUCCCAGUUUAUAAAAUUAUUUUGAUUUAAAUUAUUGCAUUAUCGCUUUAUUUAAAUUCCCGCGUUAUCACUGUUUUAUUUAGCCAUGCCUAUUUACCUUUGUUAUGACCUUAUUAUUAUUGCUAUUGUUAUUAUUAGCUUGUUCACCCUAGGAUAAACAAAACCCCAACUAGUGGGUACUCUAUUCAUGGUUCCACUAGUAUGAAUUUAGGUAGAUGCUUCGCUGAUUAAUUAGGCAACUUUAGGUGGUUUUAUAACUUUAGACUUUGGGAAUUCUCAUAUCAUUUGGACACUAUGGAAUGGUUGGCUUAUGUUGGAAUUGGACACACACCUCCCCCUCUAUUCAAAACCCCCAAAAUGGUUUUAGGCUGGGCUCGAGGUGCGUGGUUGGGUUUUGUUAGUCGUUCCUCGGGUACUAUAAGGAUUAAGCUCAGGCCUCUGUUGCAAAGCACUACCGUACUUCCACAUGUCUAGCGGGUAAGGCUUAGUUUGUGGCUCAGUCUGGUUAUAAACAAAAGUACACGGAUGGAGAUGGACGAAGUCGGGGGUCGAUGGACAUCUCUAGGACAAAUGAAGGCUACACGAGCUGUGGCCCGGUAGUCGAGAUGUCAUGGCACAGGGCUGGUGUCCUGCUGCUAGGGGCUCAAUCCUGCCUGCCUGUCCCAGAGGUUCCGGCCGUAGGUGGGGUUGGGUCGGUACUCUUGUUUAUGGCUAGGAUGGGUUGGGAACUAUGUCACGUCUUCCGUCCGUAUACCGUGGUGGUAUGUGGCACGUGGUUACACGUGAGGAAGAUGUAUCUUGUGGGUAAAGAUGUACACCUCUGAUCAGAGUAUAACCUAUUCGAAUAGCCGCGCCCUCGGUUAUGGGCAAGCCUAGCAAUGUACCCAAGUUAGUGUUUUAAUUCUUAAAAUGUGCUUAACAACUAAAAUGUGGAAUGGUUGGCCUGGGUUGGCUUGGGACGAGCUGGGACCCAGGGUCGGGUUGCCAGUUCGGUCUGAAUCAUCGUAGGCCUUGGGUUAAGGCAGGUUCGUGAGGGUUCACGGCCUUGAUUAAUAACACUGUGUAACUCUAGGAUCGUCUUUAUAAAAUGGCUUUGGGUAACUAAGUGACUUUUAAAUGCUGUUUUCUACAAAACUUAACCCCUAUAUUAUUACCCCUUGUACCCUCUUGCAUUAAUCAUGCAUCUGCCGGUGUGGCUUGCUGAGUACUGUGGUUGUACUCAUUCUUGCUCAAUCUUCCCCCCCCCCCUUCAGUAAGAGAAGCUUUGGAGAAGAAGUCUUAGGUGGAGUCCUGGCUUAUACCCCAGUUGAGCGCCUGUGAAGAUGCAGCCGUAGGCCCGCUAGUCCGCUGCUGGUUAUUUUUUUAUUGUCAGGCCUUAAGUGCCUUUGUAAUAAUGUAAAUAUUAUCGAUAUAAUAAAGAUGUGUCUUUUAUAUCAUGUUUGUGUGGUGUACCCCGGCUUUUUCUGGGACGGGGAUUAAUACACUAGCGUUCGGGAAAAUGUAUUUUUCUCGGUCGCGACAAGCUGGUAUCAGAGCCAUCUCGUCUGUAGGAUAAGCCAAGUGGAUAAUACCUAAGGACAUAUUUUAUAAAUGAAACUAUUUGCGAAAGUUCCUUUUUCCUCCUUUCCCCUGUGCUAUUUGCAAAAUGUUUACUCUUUCUUCCUUCUUCAAAUUUCAACUAGUACUAGAUGGUCAGCUUUGCGGAGAAGAAGAUAUCGUCAAUUGUCUGCCGAAGCUCCGGAAGACUGCAGGAUCCGCUAGCGAAGUGGAGGAAGCAGUGAAGCUAGCUGUGAAGAAGCAGUGAAGAUCUUAGAGAACCCGUCGCAGAACCCAAGCCACCCUCUAGGGCAGACUCGUUUGUCGUGUGUUUCCUUGCUUGUGUGUGUAGCGCGUGGUUUGCAUCGGUGGGUUGUGAUGUAACCAUGCUAGGUUGUUUGCUUAAUCAACUUGCAGAAUAAGUGAAACAAACAACACAUCAACAAGAAGAGUUAGUUCCUUUAAGGUCCUGUCUCUAGUUCUGGUCUAUUCUUUCCUGGCUUGUUUCCUCUCUCACCUCAAUCCCUGUAACAGAUGUUUAACAGAGAAAAAGGAAAGAAUGUCAGCGGGUAUGCCUCAACUAACUCAAGUUUUCAACUCAAUCCACCACUGUCCUCAAGAGAGUUAACAAGGGCACACCCUUGGUCCAUUCCAAGCAUGCUGCUGAGUUCACAGCUACCAUUGGUUGGAAGUCAAGACCAAAAUCAGUAUGUGUUUGAUCGAGCAUUUGCCACCCAGGUCAAUGAGCUUCCAAUGCCAGAAGAGCAUGUCCCCUUUUGUCAUGAUUGUAGAGAACAAGGACACUAUGCCCUGAAUUGUCCAUGGGUAUAUGCCAAACAAGCCUCUUCCUUUGGUUUAGCAGGGCAGACAUCGCUAAACCAGCCUCCUCGCACCAAGUCAAGCUUGCAGCCUAGUGUGCAAAGUAGAGAGCCCAAUGGAGAGAAUCCAUUGAAUCCCGGGAAAUGCUUUCCUCCUAGCCUUUCGUACCACGUGGGGUCACAUACUAAGCAAGCCAAAGGCAAGAAGAGUAAGAAUCAGAAGAGAAAAGCACCGAUGCGAACUGAAGAAGAAGUACGUAAGAUGACUAUUACCAACACCGAAUGGCCUCCAGUAGGGAUAACUAUUCCUAGACGUCAAAGAGGAAAUACCUUUCGAGGUGCACGACAGUUGACCCAGCACCUCCUAAGCCAUGGUGGCAGAGUAUCUGAUAGUGAAGGGUCAGAUCAAGUCUCCUCGGAUGAUGAAGAUGAGUCUCCCCGACAUCUCGGCGAGGAAGAGAUGGAAUCAAAGGCAUGCACCUGUUGUGGAGAAAUUGGACACGUUGCUAGCAUGUGUCUCACACUCUGCCCUCAUUGUGAAGAAGACCAUCCACCAGGGGAGUGUCCCACCCGCAAGAUGACAUGUUUUCUGUGCGAAGGUACAAACCAUGUGCCCAAGGAUUGCCAACUCAGUGUGUUGUUGACCAAGACCGUAGAAAUCCAACGAACAACCCUACGAUUGUCUCAUCAGCUAGUCAGCUCCAACAGCAACAUCGACGAUAUCAUCCAUAGCACCAAUGUUCCUCCUGCUCCACCUAACUCUGCAAUAAAUCAUAGCAAUAAUACCUUCAGCACCAACCAUUCUCUGCACCGACAGCCUCAGCAAAGAAUUGUCGUCGAUGGAAGAAGUUGUGUCUCUCCCCGACCUACUCCAGGCCGAGCAAAGGGCAAUCAACCUCCGGAGGGCGAUACCAAGCAGAAGACCGUCAUCCGCUUCAAACAGCAAUCAGAAGGAAGCUUCUCCUGUGAAUGAUAGCAAUAUGCAGUCCUAUCACAUCAUCACAGAACCAAUCAAGGAUGCAGUCACUAGAACAAUGCCAGCUAUAUCUCUCCAGAAUCAGAAUGAGUAUCCAUGUUUGUGAUUUUCAGUUCGCUACUUAUCACUGUAAUCGGGAGUUUGCAGCAAUCAUGUAAUAAAUAAAUAUAUUCAUGUUUAUAAACAGUGAGUUUGCUAUGUUUAUGGAUGAUUCAUGUUGAGGAUGCAAUGUACCGAUGUUAAGCACCUUCCCUUUUUGUUUAAGGUAGGGCCUUGUAUUCAUGUAAUAAGGGAGAAAUGUGUAACAAAAACAAGUUCUAUGAGGACUCUUUCGGAAGAUGCUGAUAUGGGAUUAUGUGUUUACUGUCAAAGGAGACCUAGGGUCUCAUUUCAGAGGAACCAUGUUCUAACCUCGAGUUAAUAACCAACCUGCUGAUGGAAAAGAAAAUCAAGCGAGUAACCAGAGAGACAUUUGUUUGGACUAAGAGUUUCAGAUUUGUCUUUUUCGGAUCAAAGGCAACGACAGUCAGUACAGCUUUUGAUGAACUACUUCAAGGUUUCACUGAAAGGCAGUAGGCCAAAGGACCUCAUUGCCACCAGAAGUGUCCGCAACCCACAUUAAAGAGUACCACCUGUUAGAGAUAGGCCGAAAGAUGAUUGAUAAAAGAUAUUGGCAAAUAUGUUCUCUAGCAGGAAGGAAGUAGGCCGAAAGAUGAUUGAUAAAGGAUAAACAGAAACAUGCUCUGCAUCACUCAAGGAAGACUCCUGAUAGCAAUCACCCUGCAACAGUCACCUUGUCAUUGAGGUAGAAAAAAAAAUCGUGAGUAAGCAAUACGACCUAGGUAAAAGUGUUUCUUUGAAGGCAAGGAAUGAAAUCUUUAACUCGGUAUCAGAUGCUACACGGAGUGAAAAGUGCAAGCACCGGUUACCAGGCAAUGCCAUGUCUUGGGAGAUGAUCCAAUGGGAAGGAACUCAUCAAGGUCGAAGGUGUAAAGGAAUACGUUGAAUGCUAAAUAAUGACAACAUGAAGAUAAUAGUGGGAUAAGUUGGUUCUGUUGAGAAACAUAAUUCAAAGGCAAAGUUAUUGACCCUUGCAUCAAAUAGCAGAAGUAGCUAGCACCUGGAGACCAGGAAAGCUAAUAUGAGGUAGUUGGUGGCAAGUUAGAAGUAAAUGACAAGUAUGAUAUUCUUAUGAUGGCAAACAUGGUAUCCUAGUAAUGACAAGCUAGUGUUGACGCAUGACAUGAAGUGGUAACUUGUAUGAGGUUGACUCCAAAGAUAUGAGUUAUAAGAAGUUCUGGAACUGAAGCCCCAUCUUCCAAUGCCGCAGCCCAGUCGAAGUCAGCUAGAGGUGCAACCAGGGAAAAGUCAGGUGAAGAGAAGAUUCCAUCUAUAACAGGAGAUCGAGCCAAGCAGUCCAGAGUGGAGAAGUUUUGCUAGGCAAGUUUGUUAUAGAAGACGCGACGGAAGAAGUCAGACAAGAAGAGAAGACCGCGCAACCUAUCUUCUUGCUAGCCACCUCGAAUCUCGGGGACGAGAUUCUUGUAAGGGGGGUGGAUUUGUCAUGUCCUGAUAAAUUCAUCCCGAAAUAAAAAUCAUUCCCUAAAAGGAAUAAUAGAAUAAAUUAAAAUUCGAAAAGAAAUUGGCAAACACUAAAAUACGUACAAGAAAAAUUCGAAUAUGGCCCGGAGAAUUUUUGUUAAAUUCUCCUUGGUCUAAAAUGAGCCCUCAAAUUUUACUUGAAUUUUCAGAGCACCGGAAAUAUUUAUUAAGCAACAAAAAAAAUUAUCAAAGUUUAAUAAAAAGAAAACCUAAAAAUAAUCCUCCUUUCCUUUGGGCCAAGUCUAGCCCAAAGCCUCCCUCUCUCUCCCCCGGCCCGCGGCGGAAGUCCUUCCCUCCUCCCUUUCUUUUUCCCUCCCCCUCCCGGCCCACUCCCUCCUCCUCCCUCUCCCUCCCGGGCUGCCUCUCCCUCCUCUCCUCCUGGGCCGCCUCCGGGCCCAAGCCGAGGGGCGCCCUCCCGCCCGUGCCGCGCACGUGCGCGCGCUGACCGCGCGCCCGCGUGGGGCCCACGUGCCAGGUCGUCUUCCUCCUCCCGCCCGGCCUCCUCCUCUCUCCUCCGUGAACCCUAGCCAUUUCCUCCCUCAAAUCCGCGCGAUUCAAACCGGGAAUUCCAAAAUUGAUUAGGGGGAAUUAAUCCCCUUUCCCUCCUCUCUCUUUCCCCCUUAAUUCCCCCUUGAAUGGCGUCCCCAAUCGCCGGGAAUGGACGCGCCAACUCCGGCCGCUUUCCAUGGCUGCCGGCCGCCAUUUCCGCCGCCGUUCCCCACUCCUCCUGUGCUCGGCUCGCUUCCCUCCGCUAUAAAACGGAAUCCCCUCGCUCCGUUCUAUCGUUUUAGCCCCCUCCAGCGAUCUCCCGUGGUCCCUAGCCACCUCCCCGCCGUCGUCCCCUCUCUCCCGUGCCGCCGGCCGUCUUCAGCCGCCCCUGCCGCCGCGUUAGCACGCCGGCCGGCCGUGCCGUCGCCUCCUCCAGCGUCGCAGCCGCCUCCUCUUCGCCGGCCUGCCCUCUGUUUCCCGCGAAGACCUCCGGAAGUGCAUCCCCGCCGGCAACAGUGGCGUUGCCACCACUGUUCCGCCUCCGGCCGCCUCUGCCGCGUCCCCUGUGCGCCGGCCGACGUCGCCACCACCUCUCCCGGCACCGGAACGCCAUCCUCUUCCCCGGCCAAGCCACGGCGUCGCCCGUAUUUCGUCGGAACGCCGUUGCGCGCGCCGCCUCUCCCUCGGUCUCGUCGGCACCCACUCCGGCAGCCCCUUUCGCCGUGCCAGUGCACCGGCCGACGUCGCCGUCUCCACCUCCGGCAUCGCAGCGGCAAGGUCGCCCUCGGCCUCGCCUCCCCUUCGACCGAACCCCUCCGCGCUCCAUCGUCGUCGUCUCCGUUCAUCCUCGUUGACGACUCCUCCGGUCGGUCGUUAGUCCUCGCCGGCUCGUCGUCUCGCUGCGCCGCCACCCUCGUCGUCAUCGUACCGGCGUGUUCCGCGCCGUCCUCGUCUCUGUGCAGCUGCUGCCGUCUGCCCUCAUCACCUCCUCGCCGGUUCCUGUCGUCGUCCUCUCGUCAUUCCUGGUUGUCGUGGCGUUCGUCCCUCCGUCAAGCCGUUCUCGUCCGUCGUCCGCGUCCGUCAAGUGUGCCGCUGCAGCCCCGUCGUCGUCUUCGUCCUUGCCUCCGCGUCGCCAAGCGUUGCGCCGGCCGCGUCUCGCCUUCGUCCAAGGAUCGCCGCCGAAGUCGUCCCCUCGCCUUUCGUCUCCGUCAUUCCUGGCCGUCUCUGCCGCGCCCGUUCGUCGUUGUCGUUCCCUCGCCUCGUCGCGUGGUGGUAAGGAUCUCUCCUUCGCUGCCCCGUCUUCGUCCUUUCGGUGUCGCCCGUGCCCGUUGUGCGGUUGUCGACCCCGGUACUCGUGUACCGGUGUCGGUAGUCGUUCGCUUGUGCGUGUGGUGACCGUGUUAGUGUGCCCGCUCGGUAGCCGCGUGGUUUCCACGUGUGCAGCCCGUGUGGUGUCUAGUGGAGUCCGUUUGUCGGCCACUCGCCUCGGUUGACACACGGGAUCUGCUUCUGUCGACCAGUGGACCAUCUCUGUGUACUCGGUCUACCGUGGUCCUUUAGGUUAUCAUGUGGGGUCCGCAUGUCAACGGCGCAGCCUUCCUGUCUUUUCCAGGCUAGCGCUUACACAUGUUUUAUAGUUGCAAAACCUAAUUAUAAUAAUCCGCAAAUCUCCAAGUAACAGCAUUAAACUUCGGAUGAUCAUAUCUUGGUCAUACGAGCUCCGAAUCGAUCCGUUCAAGUCUCCUAAUGUUUGUUAUAACCUAAAGAACCCUGUGCUUUCUUUUUAUGUAUUGUUAUUGCUUCUUUAUAGGCUUGUAGCUUUGCUUGUGUGCUUCGCGUAGUCUUCGUCGUUCCGGAGGUUCCCGAAGCGUGGUUUGCGGUCGUCGCCGAAGGUUCGGAAGGCCGUUAUCUCUGAGCAAGGCAAGUCACAUCAUCCUUGAACAUAUUGAAUCCCAGUUUAUAAAAUUAUUUUGAUUUAAAUUAUUGCAUUAUCGCUUUAUUUAAAUUCCCGCGUUAUCACUGUUUUAUUUAGCCAUGCCUAUUUACCUUUGUUAUGACCUUAUUAUUAUUGCUAUUGUUAUUAUUAGCUUGUUCACCCUAGGAUAAACAAAACCCCAACUAGUGGGUACUCUAUUCAUGGUUCCACUAGUAUGAAUUUAGGUAGAUGCUUCGCUGAUUAAUUAGGCAACAUUAGGUGGUUUUAUAACUUUAGACUCUGGGAAUUCUCAUAUCAUUUGGACACUAUGGAAUGGUUGGCUUAUGUUGGAAUUGGACACACACCUCCCCCUCUAUUCAAAACCCCCAAAAUGGUUUUAGGCUGGGCUCGAGGUGCGUGGUUGGGUUUUGUUAGUCGUACCUCGAGUACUAUAAGGAUUAAGCUCGGGCCUCUGUUGCAAAGCACUACCGUACUUCCACAUGUCUAGUGGGUAAGGCUUAGUUUGUGGCUUAGUCUGGUUAUAAACAAAAGUACACGGAUGGAGAUGGACGAAGUCGGGGGUCGAUGGACAUCUCUAGGACUAAUGAAGGCUACACGAGCUGCGGCCCGGUAGUCGAGAUGUCAUGGCACAGGGCUGGUGUCCUGCUGCUAGGUGCUCAAUCCUGCCUGCCUGUCCCGGAGGUUCCGGCCGUAGGUGGGGUUGGGUCGGUACUCUUGUUUAUGGCUAGGAUGGGUUGGGAACUAUGUCACGUCUUCCGUCCGUAUACCGUGGUGGUAUGUGGCACGUGGUUACACGUGAGGAAGAUGUGUCUUGUGGGUAAAGAUGUACACCUCUGAUCAGAGUAUAACCUAUUCGAAUAGCCGCGCCCUCGGUUAUGGGCAAGCCUAGCAAUGUACCCAAGUUAGUGUUUUAAUUCUUAAAAUUUGCUUAACAACUAAAAUGUGGAAUGGUUGGCCUGGGUUGGCUUGGGACGAGAUGGGACCCAGGGUCGGGUUGCCAGUUCAGUCUGAAUCAUCGUAGGCCUUGGGUUAAGGCAGGUUCGUGAGGGUUCACGGCCUUGAUUAAUAACACUGUGUAACUCUAGGAUCGUCUUUAUAUAAUGGCUUUGGGCAACUAAGUGACUUUUAAAUGCUGUUUUCUACAAAACUUAACCCCUAUAUUAUUACCCCUUGUACCCUCUUGCAUUAAUCAUGCAUCUGCCGGUGUGACUUGCUGAGUACUGUGGUUGUACUCAUUCUUGCUCAAUCUUCCCCCCCCCUUCAGUAAGAGAAGCUUUGGAGAAGAAGUCUUAGGUGGAGUCCUGGCUUAUACCCCAGUUGAGCGCCUGUGAAGAUGGAGCCGUAGGCCCACUAGUCCGCUGCUGGUUAUUUUUUAAUUGUCAGGCCUUAAGUGCCUUUGUAAUAAUGUAAAUAUUAUCGAUAUAAUAAAGAUGUGUCUUUUAUAUCAUGUUUGUGUGGUGUACCCCGGCUUUUCCUGGGACGGGGAUUAAUACACUAGCGUUCGGGAAAAUGUAUUUUUCUCGGUCGCGACAGUCACACUGAGAUAUAAAGUGAGUGACGAGUCAUAACAUUAUCUAUCUUGCUAACCAUCAAGUAUCUGUGAUGGGCAAUAAACUUACUUUGACGAUGGUAUGCAGGGACAUCUGUGGAGGCACAUCACGUAACAUCCAAACGACAUGACUCACUCUGAUCCUAAUAGAAUAUCCAACCAAAACAAACACUCUAAAGCAACCGAUAAGGAAUUCAAAGAAAACCCAUCCAUCGCAUCUAUAAAUAGACAAGCACAAUGUAAACCCCCUUCAUCCUUCUCACAACUCAAACAUUACAGCGAAAGCAUAACAACUAGAAUCCCACCACAACGAAGAUCAUUUUCUUCUUUGCUCUCCUUGCUAUUGCUGCAUGCAGCGCCUCUGCGCAGUUUGAUGCUGUUACUCAAGUUUACAGGCAAUAUCAGCUGCAGCCGCGUCUCAUGUGUCACGACCGGAAAUAACCCAACGGGCGUUCCUUACGUGAGUGCAUUAUUCCUUGUCCCAGGAGGCAAGGUACACCAAAAGUUGAUACAGUUCAGAGUUCAACAAGCGGAAGCGUAAAUAGUUAAUUUAUUACAUGGGCAGCGAAGGCCCAGCACACACAAAGACAAACGAGAAACAGCGGAAGACUAGGGCGACGACCACAGGCGCUUGACGGUAGGCACGAGCUAGACACCAAAACCUUCAUCUUCCAGAGACUCCUCUUCUGGGUUUGGGAAAAAAAUUGAGCAAGACUGAGUACAACCACCGUACUCAACAAGACACACCCACAAGUGCAUAAUAAAUGCAAGGGAGUACAAGGGAGUUAUAAUAUAAAGGGUUAGGGUUGCAGUAAACAGCAUUUAAAGAUACUUAGUUGCUCAAAGCUAUUUUGUAAACACGAUUCUAGAACUAUACAAUAUUAUUUAUCAAGGCCGUGAACCCACACGAACCUGCCUUAACCCAAGGCCUACGAUGAUUCAGACCGAACCGGCAACCCGACCCUGGGUCCAAGCUCGUCCCAAGCCAACCCAGGCCAACCAUUCCACAUUUUAGUUGUUAAGCAGGUUUUAAGAAUUAAAACACUAACUUGGGUACAUUGCUCGGCUUGCCCAUAACCGAGGGCGCGGCUAUUCGAAUAGAUUAUACUCUGAUCAAAGGUGUACAUCUUUACCCACAAGACACAUCUUCCUCACGUGCAACCACGUGGCACAUACCACCACGGUAUACAGACGGAAGACGUGACAUAGUUUCCAACCCAUCCUAGCCAUAGACAAGAGUACCGACCCAAUCCCACCUACGGCCGGAACCCCCGGGACAGGUAGGCAGGACUGAGCCCCUAGCAGCAGGACACCGGCCCUGUGCCAUGACAUCUCGACUACCGGGCCGCAGCUCGUGUAGCCUUCAUUUGCCCUGGAGAUGUCCAUCGACCCCCGACUUCGUCCAUCUCCAUCCGUGUACUUUUGUUUAUAACCAGACUGAGCCACAAACUAAGCCUUACCCACUAGACAUGUGGAAGUACGCUAGUACUUUGCAACAGAGGCCCGAAGACCGGUCCUUAUAUGGCCGAGGUGCUACUAUCAAAACCAUGCACCCCGAGCCCAGCCUAAAACCAUUGUUGGGGAUUUUGAAUAGAGGGGGCGGUGUGAAUCCAAUUCCACAAUACUCCAACAAUUCCAAAGUGUCCAGGUGAUAUGAAUAUCCCAAAGUCUAGAGUUGUAAAACCGCCUAAUGUUACCUAAUUAAAUAGCGAAGCAUCUACCUAAAAUCAUACUAGUGGUACCAUGAGUAGAGUGUCCACUAGUUGGGGUUUUGUUUAUUCUAGGGUGAACAAGGAAAUAAUAACAAUAACAAUAAUAAGGUCAUAACAAAGGUAAAUAGGCAUGGCUAGAUAAAACAGUGAUAACGCGGGAAUUUAAAUAAAGCGAUAAUGCAAUAAUUUUAAAGCAACAUAAUUUUAUAAACUGGGAUUCAAUAUGUUCAAGGAUGAUGUGACUUGCCUUGCUCGCUUUCCCAAACGCCGGCUUCAACUUCCGAAGCUGCAGCGUCUACACGACCAACGGAAAAGAAAAGGCUUUUACUCUAAUAAACUCCAUAUAACAAGCAGAAACAAAGCACAAAAAUGGGUUCUUGACUUCUUAAGGAAAAAUUAGAGACUUGAACGGUCCAAUUCCGAGUUCAAAUGGCCAAGUUAUGGCCAUUUGAAGUUUAUAUGCUCUUUAAAUGAAUAUUUGCGAAUUUCUUCAUUUAAAUUUUAAUUUAAAAUGGAUUUAUUGCGUCAGCCGAGGGGAGGGGCGCGCGGACCGGGUCCACGGGGGUGGGGCCCACGCGGCAGCCCCACGGUCCACGGUGGACCGGGCGCACCCGGGCUCACACCGGCCGGCGCCGUGGGUCCCACGCGUCAGCCGCACCCGAGGACGCGGGCGGCUGACAGCCGGGCCCCACGCGGCAGCCGCACGGUGCGCCCGAAGGCGGCCACGCCGGCGCAGCGGCGGGAGGCGGCGCGCCCUCACCCCUAUGGUCGCCGGCGGCGGCCAUAGGCACGGCGGAGCGGCGGCCGAGAGAGGGGAAGGGAAGGGGGAAAAGAAGCGGCGGUCCACGGCUCACCCCGGGUCGACGGCGACGACGGAAACGGCGACCGGAGCGGAGGAAGGCGGCGGCGCGGCUCGGGUGGACGGGGUCGACGGUGCUCCGGCGGUCGGCGAGCGAAACGGAGGGGUGGACGAGGUCGCCGGGGAUGCGGUGGAGCCGAAGGUGGCGACGCCGAGGCGGGAGGUGGUCCGGGGCGACGACGGCGGCGGACCGGAGCUCGGCGGUGACGGCGGAGAGAGAGAACGACGGCGCGAGCUCGAUUCCGACGGGGAGAGAGGGCGGCGAGUGGCGGAAACGGUGGAGGGAGGCACGGGGAAGGUUUAUAUAGGAUUGGGAGGGGGAGGGAGCUGCCGGACGAGGGGGAAACGGGCGCGGAAGAUCCGGUCGCCAUUGAUGGCGCCGGCGAGGUUAGGGGAGAGGUUUCCAAACGAAUCCGAGGGAGAGAGGGAGGGAAAAAUGGGGGGAAAGAGGGAGGGAAUCACGGGGAAUAUUUCCCCCCACUUUAUUGCGCGCGUGGAUGGCGGGAGGCGGCGGGAUUCGCGGCGGCGGCGGCGCUAGGGCACGGGCGAGGCGGCGGGAGCGGCGGGAGGAAGGGGAUGACGGGUGGGCCCCACCCGUCAGCGAGGGUGGCGGGCGGGCCCGCCCGUCAGCGGCACGCGCGCGGGGAGGAGGCCGAAUGGGCCGCGGAGGAGAGGAGAGAGAGGGAGAGAGAUGGGCCGAGCCGGCCCAAGAGGGGGAGGAGGGGGAAAAGGACUUUUUUUAGGGUUUUUCUUUUUAUAAAACCUUUUUAACUUUGUUUAUUUCUUCUUAAUUAUUAUUUGUGCUCUGAAAAUUCCACUAAAAUUUAUUUACGCAUUUUAGGCUUUUAGGAAAUAUACAAAAAUCCUCCAAGCCUUAUUUGACUUUUAACUUUGCACAUUUUAAUUGUUGGAGGCUUUCACACGGAUUUUAAUUAUUCUAGGCAUAAUUUCGGGGAUGUAUUUUAGAGUCGUUUUGGGACGCGACAUCAUGCUGCAGCAACAGAUGCUUAGCCCAAGCGGUGAGUUCGUAAGGCAGCAGUGCAGCACAGUGGCAACCCCCUUCUUCCAAUCACCCGUGUUUCAACUGAGAAACUGCCAAGUCAUGCAGCAGCAGUGCUGCCAACAGCUCAGGAUGAUCGCGCAACAGUCUCACUGCCAGGCCAUUAGCAGUGUUCAGGCGAUUGUGCAGCAGCUACAGCUACAACAGUUUGCUGGCGUCUACUUCGAUCAGACUCAAGCUCAAGCCCAAGCUAUGUUGGCCCUAAACUUGCCGUCAAUAUGCGGUAUCUACCCAAGCUACAACACUGCUCCCUAUAGCAUUCCCACCGUCGGUAGUAUCUGGUACUGAAUUGUAGCAGUAUAGUAGUACAGGAGAGAAAAAUAAAGUCAUGCAUCAUCGUGUGUGACAAGUUGAAACAUCGGGGCGAUACAAAUCUUAAUAAAAAUGUCAUGCAAAUUUAAACAUAAUGCCUCUGUAAGGAUAAAUCCUAGUACAUUGUUGAAAUUAAUUAUCAUCACCGCCUACUAUGGUUGCAUUUACAACUUUACGAUGUGUUCCUACAUUUGGUUCUAAGCUACUAUGGCUACUCGACGUGAACGGAGUGUGUUAAGCAGGUCAAUCUUUUCAUUUCGAUCAGAACAAAGUCAAAACGCAUGUGGCAAAUAGUAUAUACCCUACAACGUAAUCCUACACCAUAGGCAAAUCAUUGCCAAUACGUGCUAGCCGAACUGUUGUGAGAAGCAAUGCCUCCUAAGUCACGAUUCCGUUCCCUUUCGUGAUUUUUUCUUUCUAACGUGUUUUUUAACUCCUCGGCAAAAUAAACGCAAGCUAAUCUUUCAGAUUUUUCUCCAAAGUGGUCAUAAAAUCAAUGACGGCAAAAUAAACAUUGUUGAAAUUAAUUAUCAUCACCAUCUACUAUGGUUGCAUUUACAACUUUACGAUGUGUGCCUGCAUUCGGUUCUAAGCUACUAUGGCUACUUGUCGCGCCCGGAAAAAUACCUUUUCCAGAACGCUAGUGUGUUAAUCCCCGUCCCAGGAAAAGCCGGGGUACACCACACAAACAUGAUAUAAAAGACACAUCUUUAUAUAUCGAUAAUAUUUACAUUAUCACAAAGGCGCUUCAGGCCUGACAAUCAAAAAUAAACAGCAGCGGACUAGCGGGCCUACGGUUCCAUCUUCACAGGCGCUCAACUGGGGUAUAAGCCAGGACUCCACCAAGGACAUCUUCUCCAAAGCUUAUCUUACUGAAGGAGGGAAAGAUAGAGUAAGAAUGAGUACAACCACAGUACUCAGCAAGCCACACUGGGAGAUGCAUGAUUAAUGCAAGGGGGUACAAGGGGAUAAUAAUAAUAUGGUUGGAUUUUGCACUAAAGAGCAUUUAAAAGACACUUAGUCGCUCAAAGCUAUUUUGUAAACACGAUCCUAGAGCUACACAAUAUUAUUAAUCAAGACUGUGAACCCUCACGAACCUGCCUUAACCCAAAGCCUACGAUGAUUCGGACCGAACUGGCAACCCGACCUCGGUCCCAGCUCGUCCCAAGCCAACCCAGGCCAACCAUUCCAUAUUUUAGUUGUUAAGAAAAUUUUAAGAAUGAAACCACUAACUUGGGUACAUUGCCAGGCUUGCCCAUAUCCGAGGGCACGGCUGUUCGAAUAGAUUAUACUCUGAUCAGAGGUGUACAUCUUUACCCACAAGACACGCCUUUACUCUGCAUUCCAUUGCAAUUGGAACCCAUAAAAAAAACGUGACAUAACCCUUUACCCAUCCUAGCCGUGAACAAAAGCACCGACCCAACCCUGCCUACGGCCGAUAUCCCGGGACAGGCAGGCCAGGAUUGAGCCCCUAGCAACAGGAUCUAGACCGGGUGCGCCACACGCAUAGGGGUGAGACCACCCGUGUACUAGUCCAGUGCCAUGGCAUUUCGACUAACAGACACCAGCCCAUGUAGCCUUCAUUUGCCUAAACAUCUCGAUUACCGAUCCGCAGCUCGCGUAGCCUUCAUUUGCCUCAGAGAUAUCCAUCGUCGCAACGACUUCAUCCAUCUCUAUCCGUGUCCUUUUGUUCAGGACUAGACUGAGCACCGAGUUAAGCCUUACCCAUUAGACAUGUGGUUAGUACAGUAGUGCUUUGCAACAGAGGCCCGACCUUAAUCCUUAUAUUGGCCGGGGUGCUACUUCCCACAACUGGCAUGCACCCAAACCCCACCGGAAAACAGGUUUUAGGGGUUUUGAAAGAGGAAGAGAGGGGUAUGUCAUAUUCCACCAUAAGCCAACCGUUCCAUAGUAUCCAAGUGAUAUAAGAAUUCCCAAAGUCUAAAGUUAUAAUACCACCUAUUGUUGCCUAAUUAAUCAGCGAAGCAUCUACCUAAAUUCAUACUAGUGGAACCAUAAAUAUAGUACCCACUAGUUGAGGUUUUAUUUGCCUAGGGUAAGCAAGGUGAUAAUAACAAUUGCAAUAAUAAGGCUAUAACAAGGAUUAAUAGGUAAUGCUAAAUAAAACAGUGGUAACGCGGGAAUUUAAAUAAAGCAGUAAUGCAAUAAUUCAAAUCAAAAUAAUUUUAUAAAUUGGGAUUCAAUAUGCUGAAGGAUGAUGCGACUUGCCUUGCUCAGAGAGAACGGCCUUCCGAACCUUCGGCGACGACCGCGAACCACGCUUCGGGAACCUCCGGAACGACAGGAGCUACGCGAAGCACACAAGCAGAGCUAAACCCUAUAAAGAAGCAACAACAAUACAUAAAAAGAAAGCACAGGGUUCUUUAGGUUAUAACAAACAUUAGGAGAUUUGAAUGGUUCCAUUCAAAGUUCGUAUGACCAAGAUAUGAUCAUCCGAAGUUUAAUGUUGUUGCAUGGAGAUUUACGGAUUAUUGUAAUUAGGUUUUGCAACUAAAAUAUGUGUAAGCUCUAGCCUGGAAAAGACAGGAAGGCUGCGCUGUUGACAUCCGGACCCCACAUGUCAACCUAAGAGACCACAGUGGACCGGGUACACAAAGACGGUCCACGGGUCGACGGAAGCGGACCCCAUGUGUCAACCGAGGCGAGUGGCCAUCAAACGGACUCCACCAGACACCACGCGGGCUGCACACGUGGAAACCAUGCGGCUACCGAGCGGGCACACAAACACGGUCACCACACGCACCACGAACGACUACCGACACUGGUACACGGGUACCGGGGUUGACAACCGCACAACGGGCACGGGGCGACACCGAAAGGACGAGGACGAGGCAGCGAGAGGAGGCACCCUUACCACCACGCGAUGAGGCGUGGGAACAACGAUGGCGAAUGGGCACGGCGGAGACGGCUCGGGGACGAUGGAGGCGAAAGGGGAGGGAACGACUUCAGCGGCAAUCCUUGGACGAAGGCGAGACGCGGCCGGCGCAACGCUUGACGACGCGGAGCCGAGGACGAAGACGACGACGGGGCUGCAGCAACCUUGACGAAACGCGGGCGGUGAACACGAUCGGCUCGACGGAGGGACGAACGCCACGACGACCGGGAACGACGAGAGGACGACGAUGGGAACCGGCGAGGAGGCGACGACGAAUGCCGGCGGGUUCGGCCGAAGGGGAGGCGAUGCCGAGGACGACGUGGAACACGCCACUGCGAUACCGGAGGAGGAGACGGCGACGUCGGCCGGCGCACGGGCGACGAAUAGCAGUCGGCCAGAGACGGGGAGGUACUGGACGCCGAUGAGGAGGCCACUCCGGCGAGCUUCGGGCGAGGAGGAGGUGAUGCCGGAGAUGAGGACGGCGUCGCAGAGGCGAGGGAGGUGGUGGCGACGUCGGCCGGUGCAAAGGCGAGGCGGCACAGGCGGUUGGAGGCGGAGCAGUGGCGGCAACACCACCGUUGCCGGCGGGGACGCACCUCUAGGGGUUUCCGCGUGAAACGGAGGCGACGCCGGUGGAGGGGAGGCAGCUGCGACGCCGAGGGAGGAGACGGCGCGGCCGACCAGCACGCGGGCGAGGCGGUAGGGGCGGCUGGAGAUGGCCGGCGGCACGGGAGAGUGAGGAGGACGGCGGGGAGAGGUGGUGAAGCCACGGGAGAGCGCGGGAGGGGGUAAAAAUUAGAGAACGGAUCUAGGGGGUUCCAUUUUAUAGGAUAGGGGAGGGAGCCGGGCACGAGAGAGGUGGGAACGGCGGCGGAAUUUGUGGCCGGCGGCCGGGGAAGACGCGUCCGUUCCCGACGAUUGAGGGCGCCAUUCAAGGGGGAAAAUGGGGGAAACCAAAGAGGAUUGAUUAGGGAAUAAAAGCCCCCAAUCAAUUUGGAGUUAAAGCCCUUGAUUCGAGCGGAUUUGGAGGAGGAUGAGGGAUAGAUUUGAACGGGAGAGAUGAGAGGAGACCGACGGCUGGAGGUGGGAGACGGGUCCGACAGGUGGGACCCACCUGCAAGGCGCGGUCAACGCACGUGGGCGCGCGCGUGACAGGCGCGUGCGGCGCGGCCUGGGGAGGCUCGGCUGGGCUGGGACACGGCCCAGGUAGGAGGGGGCAGGGCGGCCUGCGCCGGGCAGACCGGGAGGGGAGGGAGGAUUGGAAGGAGUGGGUCGGGAGGAGGAGGAGAGGCCCGGGAGAGGAGGGAAAGAGAGGGAGGAGAGGGAGACUUUGGGCUAGGCUCGGCCCAAAGGAGGAAGGAGGGAUUAUUUUUAGUUUUUCUUUUUAGUAAACUUUGAUAAUGGCUGUUGUUGUUUAAUAAUUAUUUCCAGUAUUCUGAAAAUUCAAGUAAAAUUUGAGGGCUCCUUUUAGACCAAGGAGAAUUUAACGAAAAUUCUUCGGGCUACAUUCGAAAUUUUCUUGUACGCAUUUUAAUGUUUGCCAAUUUUUUUUCAAAUUUUAAUUAAUUCUAUUAUUCCUUUUAGAGAAUGAUUUUUAUUUCGGGAUGAAUUUAUCAGGACGUGACACUACUCAACGUGAACGGAGUGUGUUAAGAAGGUCAAUCUUUUCAUUUCGAUUAGAACAAAGUCAAAACGCAUGUGGCAAAUAGUAUAUACCCUACAACGUAAUCCUACACCAUAUAAAACAUGCCCAACCUAUAGCGGUUAUAAAUCCACUAUUCAAAAUGUAAGUAUCGAUGGGACAAUUUGUCAUAUCAUUGUUAAUUCAAUCUUACCUUGUCACCGAAACAAUACGCUCUGCGUAACAUGAAGUUAAAAUUUUCAUAUUUGAAGGCCUGGUCACGGAAAUAUCAAUUUAUAAGUUAAAAACAUUAAGCAUUACUGCCUCAAUGAAAUUCAUAUAUGCUUAAUAGUCCACGUUAAAUCCCAUGCAUAUCGGUUUCAUUUGUUUUCACCUAAAGUCACAAAAUAUAGUUGUUGUUCUUAAAGGUCAUAAUAUCUACCCAAGCUACAACACUGCUCCCUAUAGCAUUCCCACCGUCGGUGGUAUCUGGUACUGAAUUGUAGCAGUAUAGUAGUAUAGGAGAGAAAAAUAAAGUCAUGCAUCAUCGUGUGUGACAAGUUGAAACAUCGGGGUGAUACAAAUCUGAAUAAAAAUGUCAUGCAAGUUUAAACAUAAUGCCUCUGUAAGGAUAAAUCCUAGUACAUUGUUGAAAUUAAUUAUCAUCACCGUCUACUAUGGUUGCAUUUACAACUUUACGAUGUGUGCCUACAUUCGGUUCUAAGCUACUAUGGCUACUCGACGUGAACGGAGUGUGUUAAGCAGGUCAAUCUUUUCAUUUCGAUCAGAACAAAGUCAAAACGCAUGUGGCAAAUAGUAUAUACCCUACAAUGUAAUCCUACACCAUAUAAAACAUGCCCAACCUAUAGCGGUUAUAAAUCCACUAUUCAAAAUGUAAGUAUCGAUGGGACCAUUUGCCAUAUCAUUGUUAAUUCAAUCUUACCUUGUCACCGAAACAAGACGCUCCGCGUAACAUGAAGUUAGAAUUUUCAAAUUUGGAGGCUGGGUCGCGGAAAUAUCAAUUUAUAAUUUAAAAACAUUAAGCAUUACUGCCUCAAUAAAAUUCAUAUAUGCUUAAUAGUCCACGUUAAAUCCCAUGCAUAUCGGUUUCAUUUGUUUUAACCUAAAGUCAGAAAAUAUAGCUGCUGGUCUAUCCUGAGAGUGAAUAGGUAGGCAUUUCGUUCUUUACUGGUAUCGUUGAUGACCGCCGUGAUACAAUCGGACCAUGGUUUGAUGCUAGCAAGGGGCUAUUUUCAUUUAUGUUCUGCCUCCUAAAUGUCCUUUCAUUCUUACAUCUAGUACCAUGACAAAAAUCUAGCUAGUUCUAUAGGCAAAUCGUUGCCAAUACGUGCUAGCCGAACUGUUGUGAGAAGCAAUGCCUCCUAAGUCACGAUUUCAUUCCCUUCGUGAUUUUUUCUUUCUAACGUGUUUUUUUAACUCCUCGACAAAAUAAAUGCAAGCUAAUCUUUCAGAUUUUUCUCCAAAGUGGUCAUAAAAUCGAUGACGUUCUUAAAGGCUAUGAUAAGAUUUUUGUCACGGAAUGUCUAAACCGUUGUAGUAUUAGACAUGUCGUCGUAAAGGCACUUUACUACAUAUCUCAUUUGAACGCAAGCAGUUAUUGAUAACUAAUAUAUUUGUCAUAACUCACUUUACACAUACAAAUAUAUGUCUAGAUAUAUCAUUAAAGUUCCACGCGCCCUUGACAUGUAAAGUGCAUUUGUAAAACAAUAGCUUACAAUACAAAACAAACUUAGUUUGAAAAGGACAGCAAUCCAUGUCACACUGAGAUAUAAAGUGAGUGACGAGUCAUAACAUUAUCUAUCUUGCUAACCAUCAAGUAUAUGUGAUGGGCAAUAAAGUUACUUUGACGAUGGUAUGCAGGGACAUCUGUGGAGGCACAUCACGUAACAUCCAAACGACAUGACUCACUCUGAUCCUAAUAGAAUAUCCAACCAAAACAAACACUCUAAAGCAACCGAUAAGGAAUUCAAAGAAAACCCAUCCAUCGCAUCUAUAAAUAGACAAGCACAAUGUAAACCCCCUUCAUCCUUCUCACAACUCAAAUAUUACAACGAAAGCAUAACAACUAGAAUCCCACCACAAUGAAGAUCAUUUUCUUCUUUGCUCUCCUUGCUAUUGCUGCAUGCAGCGCCUCUGCGCAGUUUGAUGCUGUUACUCAAGUUUAUAGGCAAUAUCAGCUGCAGCCGCAUCUCAUGGUGCAGCAACAGAUGCUUAGCCCAUGCGGUGAGUUCAUAAGGCAGUAGUGCAGCACAGUGGCAACCCCCUUCUUCCAAUCACCCGUGUUUCAACUGAGAAACUGCCAAGUCAUGCAGUAGCAGUGCUGCCAACAGCUCAGGAUGAUCGCGCAACAGUCUCACUGCCAGGCCAUUAGCAGUGUUCUGGCGAUUGUGCAGCAGC